GGAAGAGAUAAAUUUCCCAAACAAGAAGGUAUAGGACCAGAAAACAUAUUUUGAGAAAGAUCUAUGAUGCUUAAAGAGUGCAACUUGCAUAACUGAACUGGAACUUCACCGUGAAAAUGAUUAUCUUUCAGAAGAAGAACACUCAAAGAAGAAAGUGUGUCAAUCCAUUUUGGAAUAUUACCUGUCAAAUUGUUUCCCCUAAGAUCUAAAGUCACUAGAGAAAAGCUAUUAUAAAAAGCAAGUGAUAGUGGACCUCUAAGUCUAUUUCCGUGGAGGUGGACAUGCUCUAUGUUUGGUGGAUUAAAACAUGACGGUAUAGAUCCAGAUAAAUGAUUUUGGGAAAGAUCCAAAAAGUCCAAGCUAUUCAACUUGCAAAAUUCCAUUGGAAUAAAACCCUCGAAACCAUUGUUGGACAAAACUAAUCUCUCCAAAAACGAUGCAUUCCCUAUCCAUCUUGGGAGCUUUCCAUGCAACUUGAUUAGGUAAGGGACCAAUAAGUCCACAAUCAUAUAAAGGCAGGGUUUUAAGAGAACUGAAUACUCCAAUGCAUUGUAAAAUGUUGGUGUUGAGAGUAGAAUAGUCAAGAUAUAUUUCCUCCACAUUGCUUGACACAUUUAAUUCUAAAGGAUGAGAAGAGGUAUUAGAUGUUAAUCGAACGUAAUCUGUUUUGGAAAAGAAAAUAAUGACUUUCACUUACCUUGAGUAGCCAGAGUCAUGUUCAGAUAACUGCCUUAUAGAUAAAAGGUUUUAACUGAUGAGAAAGCCUCCACUAACUUUUGUAAUGGAAUGCUUCCAUCGGUGAAAACUUGAUCAAGAUCAACAACUUUCAAAUUUCUGUAAGUGGAAGAAAUAAAUAAAUAUUUGUUUUCAUCAAUAAGAUAAAAGUUUAAUAGAGAAUGUACAAAUCUUAACAUAACUAUUCAUUCAUUUUAUUAAUUAAUAAACUAAUCCUUUUUUAGCAUUCUAAGAUAAAAUAAAAUUUCAAAAUAAUUUGAUCUUGAUUCAUAUCAGAUUUAAAUAUAUGAGCAUAUUCUUUUAAAAACUCAAAUAUGUUUGAAAUCAAUUUAGCAUUUAACCUUAAUGUUAGUUUUUGGUACUGGAAAUGAAGUUUUUUAACUCUACAAGUGAAGUUAAAAAAUGGCCAGUAACCUAUUUAUUUUUUAAUAUUUUACUAUACCAUAUAAGAUAUUUGUUAUUAUCUCAAUCCUACUUAUGAAGUUUAGAAUUUCAUUAGCCCUUAAACUAAAUUUACUUUGUACUCAAUUACAAAUGUUAAGAAAUAUUUUACAAUCUAAUAAAUAAAUUUUUUAAUUAAAUUCACCAUAUUAAAUAAAAAUUUUAAAGCACCUAAAAUUGUCAAAUACAUUCUUUUGAAUUUUAGAAUUUAUGAAUUCCGAAACAGACUUUCAGCAUCUCAAAUUCUCUAUUUAAAUUUCACCUACAUAGUUUUUCUAGAAAUUCUUCAAAACUUCAUUUAUUUAAAUCAAUGGUUCUAUUAUAAAAUAGAGAAUUUAAAACUAAAAAGAUAUUAUUUUUAUUUAAAUCUAAUAUGCAUAUUUUUCUCUUUACAAAAAAUAAAUUUUCAAAAUCCAGGUCUACUAUUAAUACUGUUGAAAUUAUUUUAUUAAAUCCAUAUUCAUUUCAUCAUCUUUUAAUUACAUUGUUAUCAAGUUCUUUUAUUUUAAAAAAAUAUCACACUUUUUAGUUGUUUACAGAAUCAUAAUGUUAAUUAGAGUGGAAUAUUUCAGAUUUCUGAUGAUGAGCAUAUUCUUGAGUAUUGCAGUAAAAAAAUGGGUGUGGAACUUAUUUGAACUUUGAAUAUAAACGAACGUGUCAAAAAUUUAAGUACAACGAAUUAUUAACAUGUAAAUGUAUAAUACGGUAUGCAAAAAUAAGAUAAUUGCUUGUUUUUUUAAUUGAAUUGUUAUAACACAUUAUACACAAUACAUUGUGAAUUAAAGCAUAACAUAAAGAAUUGCAUUGUUUGUGAGGUUUUAAAAUAUUCUAGUUUUAGAUUCAAUUUUCUAGUAUGUUUGGUUUAAUUUUACAUUAGAUUUCCUUUUCAGUAUGCACUAGUGAAUACUUGGCAGUCAAUUUAAUUUAAUUUAAAGAGAUAUUGCAUAUACAUAGAAGAAAAAAGAAAUAGAUGGUUGAAAAUGAUUAAACCAUAAGAUAAAAGAGCUUUUAUUCAAAAUGCAAAAAUCAACAAAAUAUUAAUUAUCGCUCAACUUAGCAUAAUUAAACAUUUAGGUGUGAAAAUCAAAUCACAAUUUGAGUAGCUAAACAUAUCGCUUGAAAAUGUGAUAAGUAAGAAACUUGCCCACAUUUGAGUAGCGACAGGUGGUGAUGCAUUUCCCAACGAGAGAAAACCAAGCUCUUUGCCAGUAUGGAUUUAUGUAGAGGACAACAAAAAUUGUCAACAACACAACUACAUAAGAAACCAAAAAGCUCACACAAAAAUCACCUAUCAAACCAUCUUCUCCUUUAUCUUCUGAUACAGUUAAUAUCGUUGAUGGCGAAUCGAUUUUGGAACAACUUUUAUGCAAUAUAGCUCCACAAAGAAAAGGAUUUCCCUCAUAACUGUUUUCAAUAAAGGUCCCAAAUUGAGCUUUUUCGGGAAUACUACCUGACAAGUUGUUGUAUGCCACGCUGAAAACCUCCAAAGAGUUCAACUCUACCAACUGAUUGGGGAUUUCACCACUCAAAUUGUUGUAAGAAAGGUCCAAACUCUCAAUUUGAUGUAGUUUUGCGAAUGACGAGGGUAUAACUCCUGUCAACUUAUUGUGCGACAAGUUUAAAGAAUGGAUUUCACUUAAGUUCCCUAAUUCUGGUGGGAUAUGACCAGUUAAGUUGUUGCAAGAUAAAUCAAUCCCGGUCAUAUAUGAAAGGAUGUUGCCCUCGUACAAAAAGAUCCCACUCUUUGUUGUGAACUCUAUUACUUCUUCUAAGUAGCUGUCAGGAUAGGAAGAAUCUAUUCCCAAAUUUAGUAUCAUACUGCGUGUUGUUUCAUCCUCUUCUAUAGGCCCAUAGAACUCAGUGUCUAGAAUCUUCUUCGUUUGCAUUAGAAGAGAUAAAUUUCCCAAGCAAGAAGGUAUAGGACCAGAAAACAUAUUUUGAGAAAGAUCUAUGAUGCUUAAAGAAUGCAACUUGCAUAACUCAACAGGAACUUUACCAUGAAAAUGAUUAUCUUUCAAGAGAAGAACACUCAAAGAAGAAAGCGUGUAAAUCCAUUUUGGAAUACUACCUGUCAAAUUGUUUCCUCUAAGAUCUAAACUCACUAUUGAAGAGCUAUUAUAAAAAGCAAGCGACAGUGGGCCUCUCAGUCUAUUCCCGUGGAUGUGGACAUGCUCUAUGUAUGGUGGAUUAAAACAUGACGGUAUAGAGCCAGAUAAAUUAUUCUGAGAAAGAUCCAAAAAUUCCAACCUAUUCAACUUGCAAAAUUCCAUUGGAAUAGAACCUUCAAAACCAUUAUUAGACAAAUCUAAUCUCCACAAAAAUGAUGCAUUCCCUAUCCAUCUUGGGAGCUUUCCAUGCAACUUGUUGUUACUGAGAUCAAUUUGGCUUAGUGAAUAUGGAAACUCAAAAGUAGAGGCAUUAACAUUUGUCAUCUCUCCUGAAAAAUUAUUUCCAUCCAAAUAUAAAUUCUCCACCCCAUUCGCGCUGAGAAUCACAGGAACUACAUUUCCACUGAAGUUGUUAUUUGAUAGUUUCAAAAUGAUCAGUGAGCCUUUCGUGAUCAACUCUUCUGGUACUUUUCCAUACAAUUGAUUGUUUGAUAGAUCUAAAAAUGAUAAGUACUUCAUGCCACUUAAACAAAGUGGGAUAUUACCUUCAAAAGCAUUCUUGGAUAAGAGUAACCGCCUCAAAUGUGGAAAAGUUGAACAUAUACCAGUCGGAAUUUGACCUUGUAAUUUGUUUUCAGAUAUGUCAAUUGAAGAUACAUUAGAAAUAAGAGCUGACGAACGUGAGAGAGGACCUGUAAAUGAAUUACCCUUCAAGAUGAGUUCUUCUAACUUUGUGUUGUUUUCUAGCAACCAAGUUGGUAAAGUUCCACUGAGAUUGUUAUGAGAAAGAUCCACAUAUCUCAAGUCAUAUUGGUAGUAAAGGAAGGUAGGAACUUUUCGACUGAGUUGUUGAGAUGUUAUGCACUUUGACAAACUGAUGACUUCCAAUUGGAACUUUGGGAUUGAGGUAUAAAAGGAAGGUUCCAAUACCAUUUUGUUUUCAUUACUGGAGAGGGCUUUGAGGUUUGAAAGGUUUGCAAAUGGUGCAAAUGACAGUGGAAUUUGAAAAUGGUUUCUUGAAAUAUCUAACACACGAAGAGAUGUCAAGUUACUAAAACAAUGAGGAAGCAUCCCCUCAAGUGCAUUCUCACUCACUUCCAACACUUCAAGGUUCCUUAGAUCACACCAUCCUGAAAAUUUUAUAAAUUCAUGGAAGAAGUUUCAAUUAAAUCUUGUUUUAUAAAACAGAAUAGGAUAUAAUAUAUUACAGAAAGCACAUACAGCAAUCAAUUUGAGCCAUAAAAUUAUUUACCUUGAUUAGGUAAGGGACCAAUAAGUCCACAAUCAGAUAAAGACAAUGUUUUAAGAGAAGCAAAUACUCCAAUGCUUUGCAAAAUGUUGGUGUUGAGAGUAGAAUUGUCAAGAUAUAUUUCCUCCAAAUUGCUCAACACAUUUGAAUCUAAGCAAUGUCAAGAGGUAUUAGAUAACGGUAUUAUAGAAAGCCUCUACUAAGUGAAAUGCUUUAUUUUCUGUGAAUGAAAUGAAAUAUAUAAAUUUUUUUUAUGAGUGUUAGACUAUUCAUGAUUAUCUGAGAUAAAUUUUGAUGGAGAGAAGAUGUUGAAACUUUAAUAUAACUCUUCAUCCAUUUUAUUAAUUAUACUAUUUUUUUUCUUUUUAGUAUUUUCUUAUAUUAUUUUUUAAUAUAAGUAAUUAACUGAUAUGGCUAAUUUGUAUAAUUUUCAAACUCCAAUCAACAACACUAUAAAUAAUAUUUAUAAAAUAAAACAUUUCUACACUAAAAUUAUUAUAUUACCUUUAAAGUUACCAAUACUUUAAAAAAAAAUAAAAAUAGGUAUUUUACUCACCAAUAAAUAAAAUUCAAAAAUAUAUUUAUAUAUGAAAUUAAAAAAUUUAUAUGUAUUUUUACUUUAAAAAAAUAAAAACAGGUAUUUUACCAAUACUCUAAUAUGUAUUUUUAUGUUUUAUACUAUUAAAAAUAUAUGAAAUUAAAAUAUAGUUAUAUUACAUAUUUUCUCAUAAAUAUAUGUUUUUAUUUAUUUAUAAUAUCAUUUUUUUAUUGUUAUAAUCAUUUUUUAUCUCAUAAAAAUUCAAUAAAUUAUUUUAAAAAAUAUAUUUAUACAAACAAAAUAAUUAUAAACAUUAAUAUUUAAAAAUUAUGAAAAAUUUAAAGAAUUUUAGUUUCAAACCAAAGUCGAAACACAUUAUAAUGGAGGGUUUAGAAAAUGUUUCACCAAACCCAUAUUUUACUUUCAAGUAUGAUAUGAUAUAACUUUAUUAAUAUUUAUGACAAUAACUGUUAUUAUAAUAUCUGAGAUCAAAACUAAAUUUCUAAAUUAAAAAAGAAAAGGAAAUUUAAUUAAAUGAUACCUUGGUGGAUCACAAAAUCUCUCAAUUCAUUAUAGCUCAUAUCUAGUUCCCUUAAUUUGAUAAAUGCUUCCAAAUCUAGGAAAACAAAAACAACAAAUUAAUCAACUCCAUUAUAUUCUCUUAAAACAUUAUUAUAUUCUUGUUAAAAAACUAAUAUUUUUACCUUUCAUAUCUAUUGAUCCUUUCAAUUGAUUGACCCUUAUGCUCAACGAUUUCAAAUUUGAAAGCUUGUUAAGGGAUGCAAAUGCACUAGUAUUGAAGAGAUUUCCAUCUAAAUUAAGCUCUUCCAAGUGGGUCAACUCCAAUUUUCUACCACCAUCUACAAAAGAUUUAUAUAAUUUCAUCACUGAAAUGAAUUGGCAUAAAAUUUAAUUAUAUGUAAGAAUUUAGGUAAUUGGUUAAAUAUAAAUGCAUACCUUUAAAGGAUUGAAAGCUUUCAAUUUGAUUCCCACUUAAAUCGAGUUUCUUCAAAUUUGUUAAAUUGCUCAAUCCUAUACAUAUCCACGUCCAAUUUAAAAAAUCAUUAUGUUAAUAAUUUUAAUUUCUACUUAAUAUUUUAAUGAAAUAAAAAUGAAAAAGAAAGUAAAUCUAAAACUUGAAGUGAAGAUGAAAAUCCUCAAACGUGAAAUGUGAAUGUUCAAAAUUAAAACAAUUGAUUUUAAAAGGUUCUAGAAAGAAUUAUCAAGAAAAACAAAGUUAUAGCUUUAGUACCUUUAGUAUCUAAUGAGCCUUGCAAACUGUUCGACCUCAUAUUCAAGGACUUUAGGCUUGAAAGCCCUUGAAGAAAGGAAAUUGUGUUGUUCCGAAAGAGAUUACCACUCAAAUCAAGUUCCUCUAAGUUUGUUAGCCUCAAUUGUGUUCCAUCUAUCAUUGGAAGAAAAUAAUAUCAUUCAAGAUAAAAAUAGUUAGGAAAAAUGAUUGUUUGAGAAGGAAGAGGCAAUUUACAAGCUUUCCCAUGAAUUGAUAACUACAUUUUACAAGUAAAACUUAAUUGAUUCAAUAUAUAAAUACUUUGUUUGAGAUACCUUCCUAUUUUGAAAUACUGCAACAUUAACUGUCCCUUAAACAAAAAUUGGUUUUAAAGUGAAAAAGAAACAUAUAAAAGCAGUCCACCUUUAAUAUGAAUUGACAUAUAAAUACUGUACUUAUACCUUGGUUUGAGAUGCUUUCAAAUUUCAAUUCUGUUCCAACUUAAAUCCAAGUAUUUCAAGUUUGUCAAAUUAUUCAAUCAUAAAAUUCAAUCCCAAAUAUUGAUUAGUUAUAUAUUCAUCGUAUGAUGAAAUCAAACUUGAAUAUACAUUGAUUUUUAAAGUUGAAAAGAAACAGGUAAAAUCAGUCUACCUUGAAUAUGAUCCAUCCUUCCUUUCAACUCAUUACCACUCAAUCUUAAAGUCUUCAAGGAUGAAAGAUUUCUCAUAUGGAACAAAAUGCUAUUCUUCAAAGAAUUCCAACUUAAAUCAAGAGUUUCCAAGUUAUUGAGUCUUGAAAGCAAUUGAAAACCUGAUAUAUAUACAUAAUUACUUGUUAAUUGUUUUUUUCUUUCUUUGCUAUAUGAAAAUUUUACUAAAGCAAUAGUGGAAUUACAACGGAUAAAAAGAAUGGAAAACUAGGUACCAAACCCAGAAGACCAUCCUCAAACUCCACUAUACAAAUAAAAACUAACACCAGACCAAACUUAAUUUACCUCUUAGAUGACUUGAUCCUUCUAAUUUGUUGUGUGAUAGAUCUAAAUACCGGAGAGAUGAAAGCUCACUCAAAGAUAACAAAAUGCUGUCAUUCAAGUAGUUUUCACUUAAGUCAAGGAUCUCCAAAUUACUCAACGUGGAUGAUAGUUUUCCAAAGCCUAUAGAAAUAUUCUUUUAAAUAUAUACAAGUUAGUGACUUUUCUUCCAUAAAAUAAAAUAAAAUAUAAGUAAUUGCAAAUUAACGAUGGUGAGAGUAGUGGAAUAAUAAAAGAUGUAAUUAAGGAAAAACUAGAGGCACGACCUUCAUUUUCAAGAUUACCACUUAUGGCAUUCCCCGACAAAUAAAGACUCUUCAAUUCCUCAAAGGGAAGAAACAUAGAGGCAUUGAGAUACCAGGCAUUGAGAUUCCUAUUAUCCAUGUCGUAUUCCCAUUUUGUAGAAUUAAGGGAGAGUUGUAUGAGUCUCCUAGUGGUGGUGUUACACUCAACUCUUUCCCAUUUACAACAAUCUGAACCCUUCACCUCAACCCAACUAUUCAAUUGAUUACCAUCAUUGAAGAAAGGUUUGAGAUGCAAGAGAGCGAUUCUCUCAUGCUCCAAACAAGCAUCAGUAGUACACCAUCUGCAUCCUUCUAACACCAACAACAUUACUGCCAUCCUAAUAAACCUUAACCAUUUCCACUUCAUCAUCAUCAUCAUCUCUCUGUUUUCACUUCUCUCUCAGCUAUAUGUUACUUUUUUUUAACUUCUAUAUGUAUAUAAUCUAAAGAAGCCUAAGCUUCUUAUUUAUAUACAAGCAGAUGCAUCCCACUAACUCACUAUAAUGUAAAAAUAAUAUAUAAUUAAUUAAUUCCUCAAAAAUUGGAUCAAAAUCUAGGCUUCUUAUUUACGUAAAUUAUUUAUUGCAAAAACUCUUAGUGGAAAUUCGUUAGGAAGGGAUGAAGGGGCCACAAGAAUAUUGAUGUUAAUCUUGAAAAACGAAUGGCCAAAAAAAUAUGAAAAGUGAGAGGUGGACAUAAAAUCGUAUAGUUGGGAUUGCAAAAGUCUUCAUGUGGCUUUCUUGUGAGUUUCAUUUAUACCCUUCUUACACUUAUACAAACUUAGUCUUGACUUGGCUUUAUUAAUGGAAAAUUUAGGUCUUCAUUUUUGGUUUUAUUCAUAGAAAUUUUACUUCUUUGAUUUUGGUUUUAUUAAUGGAAAUUUUAAGUCUUCAGUUUGCUUUUAUUCUUGCACAUUUUAGGUUUUGAUUUUGAAAAUUUAGUUUUUUCAUCUCUAUUAUUAUAAAAUUUCUUAAUUUAAUUAAUAUCAUGAGUUAAUUUAAUACUUUAAAAAAUAAAAUAUUACAUUCACUAUUUUUUAAAAAAUAAAAGUAACUAUAAAAUUUUAUUAUUUAUAUAAUAUUUAAAAAAAAACUAUUUAUUUCUACUAGACCACUACUUUAAAACUAUCCAUUAUCAUAUUGUAAUAGGCCCAAUUUGCCCGGGCCCGGUAAAUAAAUAAAACCAAUAAAAUCAAAUAAAAAAUAGUCCCAAAACAGUCCAUUUACAAUGACCCAAUACCAACCCAAUGGCCUAAAUCUCUACCCAAGCCCGAAUCUAAACCUAAACAGGCCCAAAACCCACUAAACCUAAUGGCCCAAUACCCAGCUUGGCUGAGACAAACCCUAGCCUUCAGCAGCUUUCUGCUCUUGCGCUGCAGCCAAGCCGCUCCUCACGUACGAGCCUCAUUCAUGCGCCGCACCGAGCAACGCCAUCGCCAGGGACCACGCCUGUACUGUGCCACGCGAGCCUCCGUACAUGCGCGCCCGUUCACCUCUGUACCAGUACCUGCAAAUACACACAAGAAGCAGCGAAGCAACAAAAAAAAAGAGAAAAUAGCAGUAGAAAAAUAGGGGAUUUUCAGUUUUUAUUUGAUUUUUCUGGCUAUAAAAGCCAAACACGCAGAUUGUAUCAUAGGGGGAACUCACGCAUAUUGCAAAAAAACAAGGGGCAGAAAAUCAAUACAAAAAAAAAAAGAAAAGGUUUUCUCUUCCUUCAGGUCUCUUUUCUUCUCCAAUUGUUUCUUUUCUUUUUCGAUUGUUAUUAGCCUCAUAUAAGUAUAGAUAUAUAUAGAGUAAAUAAUAACAAAAAGGGGGGGUUAAAACGUACCUGGUGAUGCCUUUGAAUCCACGCGAAGAAGCCAAAAAGCCUUGAAUGGUGAGGCUCCGACCACCAUUCGCAGUGGAAUCAAGGCGGAGGGGCGGACUGACGGCACUGAAGACUAGGGUGAAACCCUAGCAGAGGAAACAAUAAGCAAUUUUUUUUAAAAACGAGUCUGCUAAUGUUUUUUUUAGGGUAAAUUUUGUUUAAAUAAUGAUACAAUACGGAGCCGUUUUGGGCUAGGGUUCCUAGCGUCCAAACGACGUCGUUUAGAGGCCUUACCCAAUGACCCGAUCCAGAUGGCGGCUAGAUCCGCGUGUUUGGUAGGGGGAGGGGAAAUUUCGCGAAGAGUCCCUCUUGUUUUGUGCCGUUUCGGUUUGAUUUUCUUCAUUGUUUUUAAUUUGAAUCGCGUAUUUUAUUUUGUUUUCAAUUUGAUCCACAGUUAAACGGCGCCGUUUUCACUAAUCGGAUUUGAGCAUCCGAACAUUUGUGUUUAUUUUCUGUUUUAGUCCUCUCUGUUAUUUUUUAUUAUGAUUUUUACCCUCCUAUUUUAUUUUCACCCUAAUUUAGUCCCGAAACUGUUAGAUUUCACUUUAUUUAUGCAAUGUAUAUAUUUAUUUAUUUUAAACUUUAUAUUAUUUAUUUUAAAUCGUUCUAUUACUAUUUAUUUUAAGCCUUUUUUACAUAUUAUAUGUUUUAAAUUAUGUUAAUCAAUUAUUCAUUUUAAAUAUAUAUUAUUUAUGUUAAACUACAAAUGUAUAUUAUUUAUUUGGAAUUGUUCUUAUGCACAUCAUGCAUUAUCAUUUUUAAAAAAAUAAUAAUAAUAGAAUUUGUUUGCAUAUUGUUCAUUUAGGAUUCCUUCUCACACAUUACUUAUUUUAAACGUUUUACAUAUUAUUUUAAAUUGUUUUAUAUGUUUUUUUUUAAAUGCUUUGAAGAUUAUUCAUUUUAACUUGUUUUACACAUUAUUUUAAUAUGUAUGGAAUUGCUUUAAUAUAUAUAUACGUGAAUAAAACGUAUUGUAACUGGUAAUUUCUAAAAUUUUAUUCUACGUUUUAAAAUUUUUAUCAUUUCGAUUAUGUUGAUUGGUUUACUUGGGAUUAAAUUAUUAUUGCAUUGAUUAUUCUUUUUUUUGAUUUUUUUGUUAGAUUGAUUAUUAGUUUAUUUGAUUAUCAAUGUUGAUGUAUUAUAUGUUUGGUUGCUCCAAAUUGUAAAUUUAGCUUGCUAUUCACCAUUUGAUUAGUAUAUUGAUAUUUUAUUAUAUUGUUUGUAAAAAUUGCAUUUCAUUAAAGCAUUACAAUUGUUUUAUUUCAAAAUUCUCAAAAAGCUUGGUAUUUAAAAAUUCUCGAGAGGAUUGUGCCCUAACUUACUGGGCUUACCUUUUUUAAUUUGAACAUAGAAGUUUCAAAAUAAAAGCUCAUUCUCGGGAAUUUGACACGUUGUGUCCUAACGCAUUGAAUAUGACUAUUAUUUUCUCGAGAUGAGGAUUUUAAGGCAAUGUUCGAUAUUUAGGAAUUUUGUGAAAUCGAACCCUAACUUACUGGGUUUUGAUUUUCUCAUUUGACCCAGAUAAUCGGACAUCCUCCUCAAAAUGCAUAGGUUUUAAAAGACGAGAGAUAAACUUAACUUGGAGGACUUAAAAUGUUGCACUCUAACUUACUAAGGGUGACGAUUUAUUUCUUUGAAAUAAGUGAGUCUCGUCGUCCAAUUCAUUUUAUUCAAAAUAAAAGGAUCAAAUUUUAAAAUCUUUUCAAAAUUUUGACAUUAAGACAUUAAACAUUCCAAUCGGUACCAAUUUUGGGCGUCACGAGGGUGCUAACCCUUCCUCGUGCGUAACCAACUCCCGAACCCGUUUUCUCAAAAAUUCGCAGACCUAAAAUUAUUUUCAAGGUGAUCCGCACACCACAAUAAAAGAUCGGUGGCGACUCCAUUUCCAUUUUCAAAAUUGAUCCCCAUUUUUCAAAUUACAAAAAAAUGGCUUCGACACAUAUAACUUCUCUUUAAUAAUUCACUAUUCUUUGAACAUUCAUUAGUUUUUGAAACAUAAAAUUUAUAAAUAAUUAUUUUUAGAGUAAACUACACCCAUGGUCACUUUUGUUUACCUUAGGUUACAUUUCAGUCACUUAUGUUUGAAAUGUUACGUUUUAGUCACUUAAGUUAUUGUGUUGUAACAUUUUAGUCACUGAGCCGUUAGUUGUCGUUAAUGGCUGACGUGGCACGUUAAAUUAUCAUUUCAAACAAAAACUUUAGGUUAAAUUAUACAAUUGGUUUCCAUAAUUUUUCGUUUUGAGCAAUUUAAUUCUUUUAUGCUCUUUAACUUUCUUUCUUUUUUUUCUUUAUUUUCCAUUCUCUUCUGCUUCUCCCUGUUUUCCUACAUUCUUUAUUUCUUUUAACAUAUCAGGAAGUCGAAUUGGUAGUGAAGAAAGAAGCAUGGUAUGGGUUUAUGGGCUUUGGUUAUGGGCAAAUGAUGACAGUCGACUUCCUACUUCUUUUUUCACUGUCAAUUCGACUUCCUAAUAUGUUAAAAGAAAUGGGAAAAGUAUGAAAACAGAGAGAGAAACAAAAAAGAAUGGAAAAAAAGAGGAAAGUUUAAAGAACAUAAAAGAAAAAAAAUUAAAUUACUUAAAACGAAAAAAAUAUGGGGAUCAAUUGUAUAAUUUAACCUAAAAUUUUGUUUGAAAUGAUGAUUUAACGUGCCACGUCAGCUUACCGUUACACCAUUAACGACGAUUAAUCGCUCAGUGACUAAAAUUUUACAACAUGAUAACAUAAAUGACUAAAACGUAACAUUUUAAACAUAAGUGACUAAAACGUAACCUAAGGUAAAUAAAAGUGACCAUGGGUGUAGUUUACCCUUAUUUUUAAUAUGACUUGAUUUUUACUUGAAUCAUUUUUGUAAUUAGUUAAUUAAAUUGGGUUAUUUUAAAAAAAUCCUCUUAACUAAUAGCCAAAAAAAAAAAAGCCAUCAUGUAGAAAAUUCUGGUUUGUUGGAAAAAUAAAGACUUGACCUAUUACUUUAGAUUUUGAAAUGUUCAACUUGAUAUUGACAUAUGAUAAUAUGUACAAAUUUCUCAUUCUUUUAAAUUUCAGUGAUAUUACAUGUAUGAUAAUAUGUUUGCCACACCAAAUUUGAAAAUAGUAGAACUUAAUGAAUUUAACAGAUAUCUAAAAUAUCAAAUUAAAGUCUAGGAAUUAAAGCUACAACAUCAGUAAAGUACAAGAACUAUGGUAGAAUUAAACCUUUAUAUAAUAAUUUCCUUCUAUGAACCACAAUUCAAGUGCACCCGACAAGCUAAUUAAUAAAAAUUUAGUGGUAGAAUAUGUAUAUUCUUGUGGGUGGAAAUUUAGUGGAGAUGCCCAUCAUCUUUCCUAAUUAAUAAAAAUGAAGACUUAGAAAAUGUGCAAUCAUAAUCCUAGUUGUCGUUAUGGCCCCAAGAAUAGGUAUAUUAAUUUGUCUCUCUUCAGGAUCAAAGAUAAAUAAUAAAUUUUAUAAAGUUAAAACCAUAAUUCUAUAAUUAUAUUAAUGUAUAAUUUCAUAAAAUUUUAAAAAAUGUAUCUUUCAACUUUUUUAAGUAAAUUGAUAAUUCGUUAACUCAUAAUAUUUUUUUUUUCAAAAUAUUUAUGAGAACGAGUUCGUAUUCUAUUGUGUGGAAAAUUUUAGUACAGAUAUUGGUGAAGCCAAAUCCAACUUGUUUGACCAAGAAAGUCUCUGUCGUGUGGAAAAUUUUAGUUUUGUGGAAAAUGGACAUUACCAUUUCCUUGAAUGACCAUCAAUUUCUCCAUUGAGAUAUAGUAAGAGGGAGUGAAAUAUAUAUAAGGUAAUAUUUAAUGUAUUCACACCAAAUUUCAUUAAUGAGUAAAACAAAUAAUGAAUAAUAAUGAAAAUUGGAGGAAAUUGUUAAGAAAAUAUCAUUACAUAUAUCAACACUCACAUAAUUCAUUGUAUUAACUUUCAAAUGUUGACUAUUGACUUCUACAUCAACCUUGAGCUUAUAUAGGCCCCCCUCACGGAAAUAAUCUCACAUUUAAUGCCUAGAGGUGCUUAUGGGCCGGGCCGGGCCCAGAAAAAAUUUUAGCCCGGGCCCGGCUCGGCCCGAAAUAUGGGCCUGAAAUUUUGCCCAAGCCCGGCCCGGUAAAAAAUUCAUAAGCCCGAGCCCGGCCAUUUUUUAAAUAAAUACCAAAAAUUUAUUUUAAAAUUAAAAAAAUUUAAAAAAAGUAUUUUAAAAAUAUUUUAAAUAAAUACCAAAAAUUCACCCUGCAUCUAAAAGGAGGUCCAGCACUCGAAUCCCAUUCCCCAUAACUAAAAACCAUGUCACUGUGACUUGGUCAUAUCUCCGUUCAAAGUCGGACAUGGGUAGUUAAAGAAAAAUGAAGAGUCGAUGCAUGAUAGACUAAGGACUAGCUCAAAAGUGCUUUUAGAAAAAAUUGCUCUUGAAAAGAGGUGUGGAAAAGUGUGCUUGUUAGUUUUUAGUGUUGUUCAUUGCUGCCAAAAAUCGCAAUUGAAAGUUAAAAUGUUCUUUUUAGACAUGAUAGUAGAAAGUAAAAAAUUAGUCAAGUCAUAUGAUUUUUAAAUAAUUUAAUAUAAUGAUACAUGAAAUAUAACUUUUAAAUACCUUUUAAGUAAUUAAUAUAAAUUAGUUGUAAAAUUGAUAAUAUAUAAAAUAUUUUGAAAAAAAUAAAUAUAAUAAUAAAUAAGAUUUAAACAAUUUAAUAUAAUAAUAUAUAAAAUAUAAAUUAAUCUAAUUUUUAUAUACCUUUUAAAUAGUUAAUGAAAAUAAUAGUAUUUUGAUAAUUUUCCCUUUGAAAUGCAAAAGCCAAAAACAGUUUUUGACUACAAAAGCUAUGUGUUGUUCAUCACUUCUGCAGUGGAAAAACACUUCUCCAUGGUGUAAAAACACUUUUACCCAAAAAGGCUUUUUCACCACAGUAGAGAAUGCACCCUAAAAUUGUAAAUAGAAAAAGGAAGAACCAAACAUUGUUUCUACCCUGUUUUUGUCUCCUCUUUGAAAAUACUUUCCAAAAGUUUUAUCAUUUUUUUUUCUGUUUACGAUGCCUUAAAUGCAAAUUCCUUAUAGAAGUGCUUUCUUUUGAUCCACUUGCAUCAUUGUAAUAAGUUUGCAUUGCCUUCUUUCUAUGUUGAUUAUCGUUUAUUAAGUUUUCUGUUGGAUCUUAUAGUCAAAUUCCUUUACAUCAUGUAUGUUAAUUUGCUUAGCCCUGAUAAAUGUUAGAUAUAGGGUUAUCAGCUAAUUAGGAAAGACUGUAAUGAUAGUCACACCUUACAUCCAAAUUUUUACAUUGAGGUUCCUUAUUAUUUUUUCUUGUUUCACCAAUUGCAUCCUAUUUACAGUUCCUUAGCGUUAUCCACUGUGCUAGGGUGGUUCUUGUUCAUAUAUUAAUCACCAUGCGCCUUCAGCAAAUGCAAAGCCAGCCAGCAUCUUCUGAUUUGUCAUUGGAUACUACACUUUCAGCAAAUGUAAAGCCGCCAGAUUUUCAGCUGUUUUUAGAAGGUCAAGACACAACAAGAGCAACAUAUGUUGUAUUCUUGUCAAACAAGAUAAGUUUUCGCAUAUUAACGAUUCUUUUUCCAAGAUGAAUUAUUCUCCUGUUGCAUUUUUAUUUGGGUUCAAAUGUUCUGUGAAGUUAGCUUGCCAGUGCUUGUUUGUUCAUCAGCAUUUACAGCUCAUUUGUCAUUGGUCAGCAGAAUUUCCGCUGUUUUUAGAAGGUCAAGACACAACAAGAUCAGCAUAUGUUGUAUCUAACAUUUAUAUUCAACAACUGGAAACCAUGUCAUAAAUACAUAUGAAAAAUAUUUAAAAAUCCUUGGUUGAAUACUCGUGCACUAACAUUUUUUAAAAGUUAAUUUUGUGUUACUUUUUUCAUCUCUAUUAUUAUAAAAUUUCCUGAUUUACUUGAUAUCACGACUUAAUUUAGCAUUUAAAAAAUGGAAUAUUACAUUCACUAUUUUUUUAAAAAUAGGAGUAACUAUCAAAAUUAAUUAUUUAUAUAAUCUUUUUUAUAAAAACUAUUUAUUUCUACUAAACCACUACUUUAAAACUACCCAUUAUCAUACAACUUCUCUUUAAUAAUUCACUAUUCUUUCAAACAUUCAUUAGUUUUUCAAACAUAAAAUUUAUAAAUAAUUAUUUUUACCUACAUUUUGAAUGAUGCAAUUUCUAACUAUACACUAAAAUACUCCAUUUAUCAAUUUAAUUUAAUUCAAAGAAUUAUGAUAAUAAUUGAAAUUUCAAAAAAGGAAAAAAACUAGAUAAUUGAAUAUUUAUAUACAAAAAUAAAACAAACAAGACAGACUUAAGCUUUCUUACCCCAAAGACAAGAUCUUUAUUCAAAAUGCAAAACUAGCAAAAUACUCCCUAAAAUUCAUCUAAACACAUCUUCUAAAGAUGUAAUACCCAAGAAGAUUGCCCACAGUUGGUGAUGCACUUCCCAACGAAAGAAAACCAAACUCCUCGCCAAUAUGGAUUUAUGUAAAGGAUAGCAACAAUUGUUAACAACAUAACUACAUAAGAAGCCAAAAAGCUCACACAAAAAACAUAUGUGUCUAGAAAACUAUCUUCUCUUUCAUCAUCUGAUAUUGUUGAUAUUGAACCGGUUUUGGAGCAACUUAUAUGAAGUAUAGGUCCACAGAGAAAAGGGUUCCCCUCGUAACUGCUUUCAAUGAAAGUCCCAAAUUGGUUUUGUUCUGGAAUACUACCUGACAAGUUGUUGUGUGCAACACUGAAAACCCCCAGAGAGUUCAAAUCUACCAGCUGGUUUGGGAUUUCACCACUCAAGUUGUUGUAAGAAAGAUCCAAACUCUCAAUCUGCUUAAGUUUUGAGAAUGAUGAAGGUAUAACUCCGACCAACUUAUUGCGUGACAAGUUCAAAGAAUGGAUUUCACGCAAGUUCCCUAAUUCAAGUGGGAUUUGACCAGUUAACUCAUUGCAAGAUAAAUCAAUCCCAGACAUGUAUUCAAGGAUGUCGCCUCCAUAUGAGAAAGAUCCACUCUUUGUGGUAAACUCUACCGAUUCUUUCAUGUAGCUAUAGGAAUGCAUCAUGUGCUCGAAAAGUAUACCCGUCUUUAAUAGUUUCAAUUCAUCCAGUUCUGAAAAUGUUGGCGACAUUAAAUCUGGUGUCAUGGUCUUAUCCUUAUUCAUUGGAAGAGUUAAAUUUCCCAAACAAGAAGGUAUAGGACCGGAAAACCUAUUUUGAGAAAGAUCUAUAAUGCUCAAGGAAUACAAGGUGCAUAACUGGACUGGAAUUCUUCCCUGUAAAUGAUUAGCUUUCAAGAGAAGGACACUCAAAGAAGAAAGUGUGUCGAUCCAUUUUGGAAUACCACCAGUAAAAUUGUUUCCUCUAAGAUCUAAUGUCACUAGUGAAGUGCUUUUAUUAAAAGCAAGUGACAAUGGACCACCCAGUCUAUUAUUGUGCAGGUGGACAUGCUCUAGGUUUGGAGGAUUAAAACAAGAUGGUAUAGAGCCAGAUAAAUUAUUUUCAGAAAGAUCCAAAAAUUUGAAGUUAUUCAAGUUGCAAAAUUCCACUGGAAUAGAACCCUCGACACCAUUGUUAGACAAGUCUAAUCUCUCCAAAAGUGACAUAUUCCCUAUCCAUCUUGGAAGCUUUCCAUGCAAUCUGUUGUUACUGAGAUCAAUAUCUGUUAGUGAUGUUGGAAACUGAAAAGUAGAGACAUCAAAAUUUGUCAUCUCUCCAGAAAAAUUAUUUCCAUCCAAAUAUAAUUUUUGUAACCCAUUUGCAUUGAGAAUCACAGGAACUACAUUUCCAUUGAGGUUGUUGUUUGACAGUCUCAAAAGAAAUAGUGAGCUUUUCCUGACCAACUCUUGAGGUACUUUUCCAGCCAAUUGAUUGUUUGAUAGAUCUAACAUUGACAAAUUCUUCAUGGCGCUUAAACAAGGAGGGAUAUUGCCUUGAAAGGCAUUCUUGGAUAAGAAUAACUGCUCCAAAUGUGGAAAAGUUGAACAUAUAUUGGUUGGAAGCGGACCUUGUAUUUUGUUGUCAGACAUGUCGAUUGAAGAUACAUUUGAAUUAGGAGUCGACAGUAAUGUGAGAGGACCUGUAAAAGAAUUACCCUUCAAGAUGAGAUCUUCUAACUUUGUGUUGUUUUCUAACAACCAAAAUGGGACAGUUCCACUGAAAUUGUUCUGAGAAAGAUCCACAAAUCUCAAGUCAUUUUGGUAGUAAAGGAAGGUAGGAAGUUCAAGACUGAGUUGUUGAGAUGUUCUGCACUUGGACAAACUAAUGAAUUUCAAUUGGAAUUUCGGGACUAAGGUGUGGAAGGAAGGUUCCAUUUCCAACUUGUUUUCAUCAGCCAAGAGGACCUCAAGGUUUGGAAAGUUUGCAAGUGGUACGAAUGAAAUUGGAAUUUGAAAAUGAUUACUUGAAAGAGAAAUGGCUCUGAGUGAUGUAAGACUUGCUAAAGGAGUUAGAUUUCCGGAAAAUCGAUUGUUGGAGAUAUCUAACUCACGAAGAGAUGUCAAGUUACUGAAACAAUGAGGAAGCAUCCCCUCAAGUGCAUUCCAACUCACAUCCAACACUUCAAGGUUCCUUAGAUCACACCAUCCUGAAAAAUUUAUGAAAUCAUGGAAGAAUUUCUAAUUAAAUUUGGUUUUCUAAAACAGAAUAGGAGAAAUCAGAUAAAGAAAAGGUCGUAUAGAAAAUUUUACCGUGAUCAGGUAAGGAACCAAUAAGUGCACACCUAUAUAGAGACAAAGUUUGAAGAGAAGUGAAUACUCCAAUGCUUUGCAAAAUGUUGAUGUUGAGACGAGAAUAAUCGAGAUUUAUUUCCUCCAAGUUGCUUAAUUCUAAUCAAUGAAAAGAGGUAGUAGGUGUUAAUGAAACGUAAGUUGUUUUGGAAUAGAAGAAGUAUUAGAUGUUAAUCAAGAAAAGGUGUUUACCUGAUGAGAAAGCCUCUACUAAGUUUUCUAGCGGAAUGCUAUCGUCGGUGACAAUACUUUGGAGACGAAGAACUUUUAACUUUUUCAAUCCCUUGUUUUCUGUGAGCGAAAAUAUUUUGAUAAAAAUUGUGAAAACUUCAACAUGAUUGCACUAAUUGUUUUUCUUUUCUUUCUAGCAUUUUAAGAUAAAUAAUGUGUAAAAUAGAAUUUUCCUUUAUUGAGAUCAUUAUAUUACUUUAAAUUUAUCACCACUAAAUAGAAAAUUAUUAUUAAAUCAAAGUUUUAAAUUUAUUAUUACUUAAAUGUUGUUUAUGCUGGGUGAUUUUGAUGAGAAUAAUUUAUUAUAUAAAAAUAAAAGUAUAUUUCUUAAAGUAAAAUAAGAGAAAUAUUUUAAAUUUUUUUGAAAGUGUUUAUAUACAUAUUACACUUAAUCACUCUUUUGAAAAUUCUAAUUACUCUUUUAAAUUUUAUGUUAAUUUUAAAAAGUAUAUAUAAUUUCAACAGAAAUAUUACUUUAAUAUUAAAAUGAAGAGCUUUUGUGGGUAAAAAAAAUUAUAUGAGUUUAUUUAAUUACAAAAAUAAUUUAAGAAUUUAUUUAAAAAAUAUGUAGUUGUUUUAGGCUCGAUCCUAGGGGUUAUUUGAGAGUGCGGUCGCCCAGGGCUGGAAGGGGCCCAAUUUUUUUUUCAGAUUUUAAUAUGGGAAAAUAUUCAGACUAAAAUAAAUAAAUAAAUUGCCUAGAGCUUUCAAAUUUUCACCAUAAAUACUUCAUCUCCUAUGGCUAAAAAAUUUUUCAGCUUUUAUUGUAUUACAUUUUAUAAUAUUUUUAAAAAGACUCGUUUAAAGACUUUUUUAAGUAUAUUAACCUAUUUUAAAAUUCCACAUUUUUAAAAUGUCUUAAUUUUCAAAUUAAAGUACAAACACACUAUAAUCCACAAGCCUUAAUUGCCAUGUCAACAUAAACCACCAUUUAGAAGAUUGUUUUCAUUUUUUAAAAAAUAAAAAAAAAUUAUUUAAAUGAUACCUUUGUGGACCACAAAGCCUCUCAAUUGAUUCCCACUCAUAUCUAGUUUCUGUAAGUUAGUAAAUGCAUCCAAAUCUGGGAAAGAAACAGAUAAGCUUCAUUAAAUCAUUCCAAAACAUGAUUAAUAUUUUUGUCUAUAGAGGCAUAAUUUGUCAAAAAAUAAUAAUUUUACCUUUCAUAUCUAUUAAUCCAUUCAAUUGAUUGAAACCUAUGCUCAAAGAUUUCAGAUUUGAAAGCUUGUUUAGAGUUGCAAAUACACUGUUAUUGAAGAGAUUUGCUUCUAAAUUAAGCUCUUCUAAAUGGGUUAACUCCAAUUUCUUACCUUCAUCUACAAAAGAUUUAACGUAAUUUCAUCAAUGAAAAAAAUGAUAUAAAUUUAAUUAUGUGUAAUAAAUUAUUUAACUGAACCCUAAAUUGUGGGUUAAUGGUUCAAGUGUUCGAAUUAUCAUUGUGUAAAAAAAACAAACUUAAUUAACGGACCAAAAUAUAAAUACAUACCUUUGAAGGAUUGAAAGUUUACCAUUUGAUUCCACCUUAAAUCCAACGUCUUCAAAAUUUUCAAAUUAUUCAAUCCUAUAUAUACUCAAGUUGAACAAAUAUUUUAAUAACUUGGCUGAAGUGAAAAGGGUAAAAGUAAGGAAGUUGAAAAAUCCCCAAAAGUGAAAGUACUAAUUUGAAACAAAUAAUUAUAAAGGGUCCUACAUAAGUAAGGACUUUAUGCUUGAAAGCCUUCAAGGAAGGAAAAUGUGUGGUUUCCAUGGGAUCUAAUUAUAAUCCUUGUUUGCUGGAUUCCACCUUUUUUAUUUGGCCAACAAAAAAUAAAUAAAUAAUAUAAAAAAAUUGUGAUUACUAAGGCUUCAACCUUGAAGUUUAAAUAGAAUUAUUCAAUCCCAAAAAUUGACCAAAAAUUUCCCUCAAACAAAACUUAACUUUAAAGUAGAAACAAAACCAGAGAAAGGCAAUCUACCUUGAAUAUGAGGCCACUUUCCUUCUAAUAGGUUGUAAGCUAGAUUUAAAUAUUGGAGAGAUGAAAAUUGGCUCAAAGAUAAUAUAAAGCUAUCAUUCAGAUGAUUUUGACUUAAGUCAAGGAACUGCAGAUUUCUGAAUGUGGAUGAUAGCUUUUCAAAACCUGCAGAGUUAAUAAUAACAAGUAAUCGCAAAAUUAACAGUAAGUUGUGUUGAAAAUAUGUGUACAUAAUAGAGUAACUAAAGAUGAAAUGAAGGGCAAAUCAAAUAUAGAACCUUCAUUUUCAACACAACCGGCUAUGCCACUCCCUGUCAAAUAAAGCCUCUUUAAUUCCUUGAAGGGAAGAAACAAAGAGGCAUUCAGAUACCAAUAAUCCAAGUAUCCGGACCUCAUAGAAUCAAGAGAGAGUCCAAUGAGUCUCCCAGUGGUGGUGUUGCACUCAAUCCCUUUCCAUUUACAACAAUCUGAACCUUUAACCUCGUCCCAGCUGUCGAACUCAUUAUAGUGAUUGAAGAAAGGUUUGAGUUGCAAGAGAGCAACUCUCUCAUGCUCCACACAAGCAUCAAUAGUGCACCACCUGCAUCCUUCUAACAGUAGCAGCACACUCAUCACUGCCAUCCUCAUAAACCACAACCAUUUGGAGUCCAUCAUCUCUCUGUUUUUGCUUCUCUCUCAAUUGUAUGCUACUUCAAACUUCUAUUGCAUUAGCCUUCAUGAAACUUGUUAUUUAAAGACAAGGACCUAAGGCUGAAGGCAACCCACUAGUCCACGCUGAAAUAGUCCACUGAAUGUGACGAUAUAUAGGCCCUACAAAGUGUGGUUGUGGAAAUAAUCUAAACACCUAUCCUCCAAAUUAAUACUAUUCCUUGAGAAAUUAUUAAAGGUCAAUUUCUGGUUUUAGUCCCUACGCAAAAUUCAUUUUGAAGGUUUAGUUUUUAUAUAAUUUAAGAUCAAAUUUUUAUAAUUAAAUUAUCAUUUACGUCUGCUUUAAAAUUAUGAAAAAAAUAUUUUAAAAAUAUAACGAACUCCAGCUACAGCUUCAAAAUAUGAUGAAGAUGUUUUAGUAGAAUAAAUCGCAGAAUCCGCCAUCUUUGACUUUUGUUUUCUUAUUGUGAGAAUAUCUUAACAUUAUAACUUUUGAAUAUAUUUUGUUAUUUCAGUUAUUAAUUUAGAUCAUAUACAAAUUUCUUUCGUGAUAGUCUCAUUUAGAUUUGAAGUUUGUUGUUGGAUUUGAAGUUACAGGAAAAUAUGUUGAAAAUUUGGGUUUAAUAUUAAAUAAAAUGGGUUGGUAAAAUCUAUUAAUGUUAGUGGCGUUUUCCCACAAAUGCCACUAUAGAACAUGAUCUUUAGCUGCGCUUUUACUACAAACAUUGCUAAAAAACAUGAUUUUUUGUGGUACUUCUAGCUAUAAAUGCCACAACAUGCUUGACUCUUUUAUAGUGUUUUUCCAAAUGAACGCCGCAAAUUUUAGCGGCGCUAUCUAAAGCGACUUUUUACUGGCACUUAUCAAAGCGCCGCAAUCUGUUUUAGCGGCACUUAUAAGCACCGCCAUAGGGCCAAAAAAACACCGCUAAAAACCUAUUUUGCUGUAGUGAUUUACGCAUUUAUAAGCCUACAAAAUAAUCACGGAUUCAAUUUUAGAGUCCGUUAUCAGCCCCUAAUCGGGACAUCAAAUUGACCAAAAAGGGCCCACAUGACCUACCUGUUCAACUUGUGUAAUUGCACACGCCUAAGUGCUCCACACGGCCUGGCACACGGCCAACUACACAUCAAUGUGGUGCACAUGAACUUGUGACGCAGAGUAGCUUUGAAAAUUGUAACCUCCCAAACCCGGCCUAGAUGUUAUGACUAGAUUGAGAAGGCUACAAUAGCCACCGAAAUGGCUAAGCUAACUUACGUUACUUUUGAAGACCUUAAAUAAACUCAUUUUAGAGAAAACCGUAGUUGUACUUUGAGUUAGCUUAAAAGCAUUCAUUCAUUAGGUCGUGUAUACUUAGGAUUCAUUUUAUUGUUGAUAGUGUUGUUUUACAAAAAUAGUUUGCUUAUCGCUCUUCUUUUAAAAAAAACUCGAUGGUAAACUAAUGUGCGGAAAAACCAUUUUUCAAGUCAUUUUGGAAACUUAGUUGCCUUAACGAUUUGUUUUUCAGAAACAAUUCCUUUUUAAUGCAGCGGAAACUAGGGAACAAUAUCAAAUUUUACUUAAGCUCGAUAUCAUGCAUUAUUCAGUUAUUAUGCUUGAGUAAUCCAUGCAUGCAAAAAUCCCAAAAGAAAAGUUACUAAGCCACAAACCACAAGUCAUUAAAAAUUACAAACCAAAACUAAUAGAAUCUGAUUAAUACUUUUUAAAAAUAGUCCGAGGUCCAAGGUGAUUCUUCGAAUGCCAAGUCCGAUCCUAAUUUUGAGGUUUACACAUUCAUUUGACAUACUCAGCACGUCCUCAAUAAUCACAUACUUUUAGUAAAUGAAAACAAUGUUCCAAACUUUCAAAUUACCAUUGUGUUGGUAUUAAUCAAUAUCGUUCAAUUUCGCAUACUUUAUGAAUUUUGAUUAUGCAUAAAUAGCACCCUAUACAACAUAUAUGUAUAUAAUAUAUGCCAAGAAAAUUUAGAAAUACAAUAAAUCAACCUAAAUGAAAUCAUUCAUCAUCAUUUUUCAAGAUUUUAAAUUAUAUUUUCUCAUUCCCAUUGUCAGUGUAUUUCAACUUGUAAACAAAGAUGAUGGCUACUAUAAAUGGAAUCAUUGAUAUAUCAUGAUAUUUGAAUUUGACAACUAUUUUUAUACAUUUUAUUACCAAAAGUAAGGGUAUUAAUUUUUUAAUGUUUAAUUGUGGUUUAGAGUUAAUUUAUUUAAAGUUAAUUGUUAAUAUUAUUAAAUUCAAAUUUUCGUAAUUGUAUUAAUAGAAUAAAUUUAGUGUUAAAAGUGAGUUUAUUCAAUUUUAUAUUUAAUUUGUUAAAUGUAAUCUAAUGAUUUUUUUGUGCUCUAGUGUUGAUUUAAUUAAAGUUAAUUAUUAAUAUUAUUAGGUAACUAUGAGUUCUCAUCAAAUUAAUCCUAAAAUUCAAAUUAAAUGCUAAAAAAUUAACAUUAUUACUUUUAAAUAUCAAAAUGUAUAAAUUUUAUUAAAUAUAGAUACUAAAUCAAACAAAAAUUAUAAAUUUUGAGUCGUUGCAAAUUUUUCCAACAUUUUUGGGGUCUUGAAUUUGAUAUGCAAAAAGUUGGUGGGAAUUUUAAGUCAGCAAAUCCUUUAAAAGGGCAAUGACAUAAUUAAUUGCAUUACUUUAAUGGUUGAAUUUUCAUAGCUAAUAUGUAUGCAAAAAGUUGGUGUGAAUUUUAAGUCAGCAAAUCCUUUAAAAGGACAAUGACAUAAUUAAUUGCAUUACUUUUCAAAGAUCGACUACUGACUUUGGUGAACUUAUUUAUAGAAGGUUAAAUUCUGCUGUUGGUCACUGUACUUUACGAAAGUUGUGAAUUUAGUCUCUAAACUUCAAUUUGAUCAAUUUUAGUCUCUAUACCUUUUGAAUUUUGAAAUUUUAGUUCUAACCCAAACAGUAGCAGUUAUCAAUUUGAUUAAAUUCUAUUACUAUCGAUUUAGUCCAAACUUUCUGAAUUUUGAAAUUUUAGUCUUGAUGCAAAUGACAAUCACUGGUCUAUUAAUUGGAUUUUUAGUAAAUAAUAUGUGAAAAUAACAAGUUUGUUGACACCAUUUUUUUGAUAAAAAUGGGGUCGACUUAGAUUUUGAAAAUAAAAACGAAAAUGGGAGUCGCCACCGAUCCUUUUUGAUAAGGUGUGAUCGGGUCACCUCAAAAAGUGAUUGUUUUUAAUAAGCGAUUUGAUUUUAUUAAAACAACGAUUUUAGUCCACGAAAUUUAAAAAAAUGGGUUCGGGAGUCGGUUACGUUCAAGGAAGGAUUAGCACCCUCGUAACGCCCAAAAUUGGUACCUAGUUGAUUAAUUAAUAUCUUAAUGUCGAGAAUUGAAAACUCGAAAAGAAUUUAAAAUACAAUCAUUCCUUUUUAUUAAUGUUAAAUUUAUAAACGAUGCUUGGAUAAAUCGAGGUGGAUGCUAAAGACCUUCUUGUCUCAGAGUAAAUAAAAUGUCAAUCCAGUACGUUAGGACACAACAUUUUAAAUCCUCGAGAACAAGCUUAUCUUUUUAUUUUCAAAACUCGUGCAUUUAAAUUUCAAAAGGAUAUUCGAUUAUUUGGAUCAAAGGAGAUAAAUCGAAACCCAGUGAGUUAGGGCACGAUCAUUCAAAUUUCCCAAAUACAGAAUAUCACUUUUAUUAUUUUUUUAGGAAAAUCCUCAUCUCGGGAAAACAACAUGUCAUAUCCAAUGCGUUAGGACACAACGUAUUAGAACCCAAUACGUUAGGGCUCAAUCUUCUCGAAGAUCCAAAAUACCGAGUAUUACCCUUAUUUUCAAAAUUUUCUCUUUAUUACGAAUUUGAGUAAAAAUUGUAAAUGACAGAAUAACAAUUAUGAUAAUGUAAAUAAAUAAAUAAAUGAAUAGAAUGAAAAAAAGUAAAAAAGACAUAUAUGUAUGUGCAUAUAUAUAUAUAUAAAUUAUAAAAAAUAUAUAUGAUAUUAUAAAAAUGUAUGCAUGUAUAUAUAUUAAAAGUAUAUGUAUAUGUGUAUUUCGAAAGUAUAAAGUAUAUAAGAUAUAUAUAUGUAUAUGUUUAUAAAUUAUAAAAUAUAAAACAUAUAAGUACGUAUAUAUAUAUAAAUGAAUCAUGAAAUGCACGUGUAUAUAUGUAUAUAUUAGAAAAUGUAUGAAUAUAUAACAAAAUUUGGAAUUAAGGAUGUAAAUGAGUGAAUAAUAAUAACAAUGAAUUAAAAUACAAAAUCAAUGAUGCCAUACAAUAGUAUUAAUAAUAUCAAAAUAAUUAAUUUAAUGAUAAAAUAACUAAAACAACAAAUAGAGGAUUAAAUUAGAAACUAAACUAAAAUUUGGGGUCAAAUAAAAAUAACUUAAAGAGGGUGACUCGGGACUAAAACAAAAUGCGCUGAAGGAGCAAGGGACUUCCAGGGAAAUAUUCCCUAGUCCUGAAACGCAGCACUUCAGCAAGGAUUAAAAUGAAAUCAGAAAAAAAUUUAUGGGCCAAAAUGAAAGAAACAAAAGGGACAAAUUGCACUGAACUAUAAAAGAGGAGGGGCUGAACGCGCAAAUAGCCCCUCCAGGCAUAACACGCGGAUCCUGACCGCAUUCGGGUCGGGUCUCGGAUCGGCUCCUGGGUUUUAUGCCAAACGGUGCUGUUUUGGCCAUGGAUGCUAAGGUCCAAAACGUCGCCGUUUUUAAACUAUAUAAACACUCAAAAAAUCAACAAAAAAAAAAUUCAUCCCUUAUUUUUUUCAAAAAAACUGAGAGUCUCCCUAACUCUCUCUCAACCCCCAUCCCUCAUAUUCGGCCGACGACCUUCUUAGGCCUCCGUCGCGCCACCUCGUAGCCGGAGGUCGGCGCCGGAAAUGAAAGGCCAUUAAACCCCUUUUGUGGAGUCCUUGAGAGCCAGGCUCUCUCAACCCGCGAGGAGUGAAACAAAAGGGGGACCCUCGACCUUGGCAGACCCGACUCAACGAUGGAGGAGAGAGCCUCUGGCGGCACAGUCACGGCCAACUCCAGUGAGUCACCCUUCCCUUUUUGUCCUUUCUUUUAGUACUAGUUUUAAAAUCAGAUUUUUUAAAAAAAUGAUAAAUAAAAUAAGUAAAUAAUUCAAAAAAAAAGAAUCGGAGAAGACAGCAACCUUUGUUUCUAUUUCUGAAAUUCGUAAAAAAAUGACAGACGAAGAAUACAAUGUUAAGAUUUUGGCCUUUAUAGCCGAUUUAAAAACCCCUAAAUUUUUAUUUUUUGUCGUUUUGUUGUUUGGCCUGUUCUGCUGUUGCGUGUGGUUUACUGCCUUGCAGGUGUCAGAGGCUGACGGUCGGUGAUAGGCGAGUAACGGCCUGCGUGAGGAGUGGCAGAGGAGGCAGAACAUGCGGCGCUGGGCAUUGGGCAGAGGCGUGCGGCGCUUUGGGGUUUGCUCUUGGCUGAAAUUGUUUAAGUUGUGGGGCAGUCGAGCCACUAGGGUUUUUUUUUAUUGGGACGUUUGGGCCAUUGUAAUUUUGGGUUUAAGUUUGCUGUAAAUGGACUGGAAUAGUUUUUAUUUUUUAGGCCCGGGCCAAAAUUGGGCCUUACAAAGUCGAUAUGACAUUACACAAAUGAUAAUAUGUUUGUCACACCAAAUUUUAGAGAUAGCAGAACUUAAUGAAUUUAACAAAUAUCGUUUACGGUGAUUGAAAUCUUAAAAUUUGAAAAGUACAAUAACUAAAAUAUCAAAUUAACUUAUAGGGAUUAAAUCCACAACUUCAAUAAAAUACAGGAAUUAAUGGUAGAAUUUAACCUUUAUAUAAUAAUUUCCUUGGUGAAAAAAACGCACAUUAUCAUUUCCUUGAAUGAACUUCAAUUUGUCCAUUGAGAUAUAAUCGGAGGGAGUGGAAUAUAUAUAAGAUAAUAUUUGAUGUAUUCGGUAAAUGGAGAAUAUUAAAUAGAGUGAGCAAGCCAUUCGCCUCACGGAACACAUUAACGAAAGACACAAGCUUAAUACAGUCACUAAAUCCAUCAAUUUCAUUAACAACCUGCUAAUAAUUCAAGACAAUUGUUGGGUCCGGAUGGAUUAUAUUUUAAAAUUUUCUUUCAAAAUACAGAAGUUCCUUUGACAAAAAUGAAAAUAUUAUUUAAUUAUAGGGUUAGUAAUUAGUACACUGAUAAUCUACUUAAUGCUAUUGAUUUUUUUUUAAUAUUAUACAACACCUUUAUAAAACACGUGUCAACCCUCUGACUCUGCUUAUGAAAUUUAAAAACUUCAAUGACAAUGUACCAACUAUUAUUCUUAAUUAUUAUACUAUUCAUGAUUUAAGGACAAAGAUCAAAUACAAUAUUUGCUUAAAAAUCUCUAAUAUAUAUGUAUAUAUAUAUAUAUAUAUAUAUAUACAUUUGCUCACUUAUUGUGAUGUAAUAUAGCACCAUCCAGCUAACCCUAGCUUUCUAGCAAGUAGUCGGAGGAAAUUAUUGAGAAAAUAUCAUUAAAUAUAUCAACAAUAAUUGCACUAACUUUCCGAUGUUAACUACUGACCUUUGCGUCAACCUUGAGCUUAUAUAGGCCCCCUACAAUAAUUUAGGCUAUGGAAAUAAUCUUACAAUUAAUGCCUGAGAAAUAAUUAUAGAUCAAUUUAUAGUUUUAAUCCCUAUAAUUACUCAAUUGAAUUAAAAAUUUUGUUAUUCUUAUUUAAUUUAAUUUGAUAUAUUCUGUUCCUCUUAUUAAUGUUAAUGUUUAGAGUCCCCGCUUGUACAUUGGUGAUUAGGUCUCUCACCAUUAAAUUAUUCUCUUAAGAACCUAACCUGCAAAUUCAUAACAUAAAAAAUUUACAGUCAAAUGUAAUCACACAAAUGACAUUCCUCACUUAAACAGAUUAAGUCGUUGCAAAUAUCUAAACAUAAUCAAAGUCGUCGUUAUGGCCCCAAGAGAAGGCACGUUAACUUGUCUCUCUCACACAUAGGAUGAAAUUAGUCUAAACCUAACCUUGGUAGAGCCGACCAUGUCGGGCAGACCACCCUACAUAAAUCUGAUUAUUUUAUCAUAGUUUAUUCAUCACUGAAGGAAGUAUGCAAAAUUAGGCAUACCAUUUAUCCUCACCUCUCUCGCUGACAAAAGAUUCAUGUUAAGUAUAUUCACCCUACAUAAAUUAUCAAGAGGAAUCACAGAUUUAAGGACCGUGGAAAAGAAUUCCAGAACCAGUUAUAUACAAGCAGGGCCUAUGACAUCCCCACUAAUUCUCAAUCAUAUAAAAUAAUAUAUAAUUAAUUCGUCUGGAAUGUUUAAGGCAUGGUGGUGAAUAUAUCAUGAGCGAUGUUGCUGAGUUUCUUCUGAAGAAUUGGCUAGCUAUUAGUGUCUAAAGGAUCUUUAGUUAUAUGGGGCUUAUGUUUCGGUUGCUUGAACAAUUGCUUUUCAGAGGGCAGAAUAGUAGAGGGGGGUUUUGGGGGUCUGGUGGUAUGGAGUUAUGAUGUUAUCAAUAUGAGAUUUUGGUGAUUUGUACUUGAUAAAGGGACACUUUUCGUGAGGGAUUGCUACAUUUUGCAGAUUAUAACAUUGUUUACAAGUGCUUAAAAUGUGUAAUAAUUUGAUCGAGAGAAAAAAUGACCAAAACAAAUGUUCUCAGCAUUUUUGCUUCAUUUAGAACUUGUAAUUAAUUUUUUUUAUCAGAGAAGUUGUAAUUAAUUGGAUUUGGAAUGAAUUGAUAAUAUCCUUACUAUUUCACCUUUUUUAUAUGUUUGGCGUGUGAGUAUGAUACAGAUUGAACUGGUUUUUAAAGUAGAAAUAAAACGAUAACAAACCAAAACAUUCUGGUUUUCAAAAUUUUGAAUCCAAAUCAAUCGAAUUAGUUUAAUUAUAAUUGAAUGUUUUAUGUGUUAUGAUGAUGAAGGAAGUUGAUGAGGUGACUUGCUUCAUCUUUCAAAAUAUGAGGUUCGUUUGAAGUUCUCUUUGACACAUCUUUACUAUUGUUUUUUAAUAACAAAUGAAAAGUCAAUUUAAAAAACAAAAAUCCAAACCAAUGAAUUUCUUUUAUACAUAUAAGAUAAGCUUACUGCAAAGCUCUUGUUUUUUCAAAAUAAAAUUUUGUUUUUGUUUUAUUAAUUUUGUAUGAAUCAAAUGAAGUUUAAUUUUUUUAAGGGUAAAUUAAACCAACAGUAACUCAACUUUGAUGCAGCUGACAAAAUAGUUGAUUUGGUUUCAAUUCAGUCACUCAACUUUCAAAAAAUAACAAAUCAGUCACUAACGUUACCAAAAAGUGACAAAUCAAUCACCCAUUAACAUUUUCCGUUACAGACCUAACGGGACAGGUGACAUGGCUAGUUAACUUGCCACGUUGACAUGGCAAUGCAUUUAAAAUUGGUCUAAUUAAGAAUUUGGUCAUUGUACAUUAUGAAAACAUAAAAAUUAUUUCAAUUGAGUAUCAAUAUUAAAUCUUGUCCAUUGACCCAAAAAUCAUCAUUUCAACAAAUUGUAUGUAAGAAAUUAGUGAAAAUCAACAAUUCAGUAAUUUAUAUCAAAAUUGAGGACUAGCUUUUCAUUUUUUUGUAAAUUACAUGGAUGACAUUCACAAUUAGACCUAAAUAGUGACAAAUUACAAAUUUAAACCCUAAAUACCUUUGUUCAGAGGAUCCGUAGCCAACAGAAUCAAUAAAACCGAUGGAGAUGAAACUCAUGCAUUUGGCGUGAAGAUGAAACUGGACAGAGUAGAACUCGCAUUGUUCGUCACCGUUGCAGGUGUCACAGUCACACGAGAAUCGCAUCGACAUGGCGCGUCGGCUAGUGAGAGGGAUUAGAUCAAGUCGAUGGGCAAUGAACUUGUCGUUGACGACGGAAGAGUUAACUUCAAUUUUGACGAGGUCGAUGGCUAUGUUGGGAACCUCGGCUAUCAUGACACGAUGGAGGGCAUUGGCCAUGGAGGCGUUGGUGUCAUGGCAGCAUAGUUGUCUUUGAGUUCUCGGAUUUUGACCCUUGGGAAUCGCUAGUAUGAAGCUCCUUCCAUUUUCUCUUCUUCUCCAUUUCUUCUCUUCUUCUUCUUCUUCUUCUUCUUCUACUGCCCAAGGCUCUUAAAUGGGGUUGUUUAAAUGACAGCUAGCCUACCGUUAAAUGUCAUGUCACUUUUCUGUUACAAACGUAACGGAAAAUGGUUAAAAAGAUUGAUUUGUUAUUUUUCAAAAAUUAAGUGAUUGAAUUGGAACUAGAGUGACUGUUUUGUCAAUUGCAUCAAAGUUGAGUGAUUGUUGUUGCAAUUUACCCCUUUUUUUUUAAUAGAGAUAAGCUUUGUGGUGGAAAUUUGUUAGGAAAGGAUGAUUGUAGGAAUGGUCCACAAAAUUAAUUGCAUUCCCUUUUCUUGAUGAAUUCUUAUCUUUGGGUCAACUCUUAGCUUAAAUACACUGCUAAAUUUAUUUUAGGUUGUACAAUAUAAAUGGAGCAAUUGAUGUCAGGAGAUAAGUUGGAAGUACAAUUAAAUUUUUUCAUAAGAGGAGAUGGGAUGAGAAGAUUUGAACCCAACAAUUAUUGGAAUUUAGAUUAUAAAAUUGGCGUGAAAUCAUGAAUUUAGAUUAUAAAAUUCUUUCCAUUUUAAUAAUCAUUUUAGAACUAGUUUGGUUUCCAAUCUAUAUUUUGUGUUGUGUUUUGUUUAUGUCAAAUUUUAAAGUAAAACUUUGAAAGUUAAAAUACAUUCUAAGUCCCUAUACACUUUGUACUUUUAGAAUUUAGUUCUCCUAGUUUUUAUUUUUAUGAAUUUAGUCUUUCUAUUUUUUGGUUUUCAAAAUUCAAGUCCCCAAUUAUUUUCACUGUUAAAAUUCUUCUAUUAAACUCACUAGUGUCACCUUUUGAAAUUACCAAAAAAAAAAUCAUUUUGUAGUCAUGUAAUAAUAAAGAAUAACGUUAAAAAUAAUGAUGUGGAUUUUUAUUUAAAAUACUCAUCCAAACUGAUCAUGAUAAAAUGACUUUUUUUUUUGUUGGAAUAGUGUUUUUAAGAAAAAUUGACGUCAAUAUUUUGAUUGGAAUAGUUUACAAUGUUAAUUAUUUAGACUAACUAAUGACAUUACAAAAAUAAAAUAAUGAAAUUAUGCCAAAAAUUAAGGAAUAUAAAUUAAAUCUCAAGUUUUAACAUAAUAUAGGGGCUAAUACUAAAAUUUGACCAUUAAUUUCCAUGUAAUAUAAAAUAAAAAUAAAAAAGUUGUGUGAAGCAGCCCAAGCUUAUGACAGAAAAAAAAAAACACGGCCCAAAGCUAAGGUUACGUGUUAGAAAGGGAAUGUCAUGAUAGGGGUGAGUAUUCGAUCAAGUCGAGUUAAAUUGAGUCAAAAAAGUUUAAGUUAGUCGAGUUUACGAAUCCUAUUUUAGUAACCGAACUCAAUUUGAAUUUUUUUUCUGAAUCAUAUUGAGUCAAAAAGUUUCGAGUCAAGUUGAGUCGAGCUAAAGAAUCCUAUUAUUUAUACUCAAAACUUAUAUUUACAUGGACCGAUUAUUUAACUAGUAGAUGAAGUACAAGAUUAUUUAACUACAUAAACAAUAUAAUGGUUUUGCCUUUUAACUUAAUGAGUAAAUAUUUAUCAAAACGAUAUAGUUUUGUCUUUUAAUUUAAUAGUUUUGACUUUUAACUUUGGAAAAGAUAAAUUCAGAUUUUCAGAUAACUCGAAUUGUGUAAUUCAUAUUCAAGUUGAAUAUAAAAACUUAAUUUUUUUAUUCGGGUUGAUCCGAAUAACUUGAUUAACUCAAAUAACUCGAACUAUUUAAUUCAAAAUUUAAAAUUUUUAUCAAAAUUUUCAGAUCAAAUCGAAUUUUGCUCACCCCUAGUAUUGGACAUUAUUUUUAUAUACGGGUGUAUAUAUAUGUGUGCGUGUGUGUGUUUGAUGUGAUUUCCUUGUGAGUUCCAUCUAUUUUUAGAAGUUUUUCCACGUAAAAUAUGUGUAUUUAAUAUUUUCAAUUCUUUUAUUAUUCUACUUGCUCGUUGCAAAUACGUUUGAUUCACAACAUUUUAACCUAAACUUAAUUGUAAAUGAUAAGAGAUAUUUUACGAUUAAAUAAAAAAAUUUAAACCACUAAACCAUUACCCUAAUAUGUCAAAACACAUGCAUUUUUUAAUUUCAAAAUUUAUGAAUUCCGAAGUAAAGAGCAUACGAUAUUUAUAUUAAUGUAAGAAAUGUAGGCUUGCUAAGUUUCGCAAAAUCAUAUUACACUUUUAAUUGAAUAUAAUGGUGGGAUGAUUCAAUUAUUAAAAACUAAGUUCGGGCAAAAAUGUAAAAAUAAUCUAAAAUUAAUUGAAUUAUUAUAAUAAAUUUAUAUAACUUAUGGAGUGAACCAAAUCAUGACAUAAUAUCAAAAAUAAUUAAGACAUGUCAUAUUACAAAUAAUAAAAACUCAACUUUAUAAGCAUAUCAAAAUUUAUUAUCAUGGCGUAUAAUAUGUUAUGAAAAAAGAAAAAAGAAAAAAGAAAAAAGAAAAAGAAGAGAGACAAUCGCUUCAUCAUGAGAUAUAAGCCCUUGAAACCAAAAGUUAGUUGAAGCUGUUAGGAUCGACUCAAUUAAGCAACAAGUAACAAAAAAUAGUGGAGUAAAUUGAGAAAUUGAACACACAAAUUUAACGUGGAAAACCCCUCCAAAGAGGAUAAAAACCACGGGCAAAAAUAAUUUUACUAUAAUGACAAAAGAAUGAAGAGUACAAAAGAUGGAGAUAAAAAGCUAAACCCCAAAAAACCCCAAAAACAAAGAACCCUCAAAACGUAAACACAAUGUAACGCCCCAGAAUUUUUAUUUUUGUUCUUGCAAAGGUAUAACACAAUUGUGUAUCUACUUUAGUGGUUAAGUGUUUUGGGUGUAUGAGAGGUCUCAAGUUCAAGCCAAGACUUGGCGAAAUUUUGGUAUUUUUAUGAAUAAGCUCUAUCUUUGGUCAGUAGGCUUUUAAGUAAGAGUCGACAAAUAAUUAAAAGAAUGAGCUUGUUCGUUUGGUGGAUAAGUGGAGUGUUGGUGUGAAGGAGGUUUUGUGUUCAAUUCUCUAUGGUGGCAUGGAGAUAGUAUUUUUGCUCCAAUUUUGGCUAAGAGUUGUGUUUGGGCAAAAUUCUGAGUAGUUGUGUUUUAGUGGGUUAAUAGGGAGUGAUUUUUGGAAAUAAUGGGGGAGAGGUUAUCAGAAAAUAAUCUGAUUGUCUUUUUAUUGCAUAAAAAAAGUAGAGUUUCGGUUUUCUCUCCAAUUACCCAAACUUUUUCUGACGUUUUCUUCUUUUUUUUCCCUCCGCUGUCGAUUCUUUCCCCUAGUUGUUGCCAAAAUUUCCAUUAUUUUUUCCCCUUCCAUUUCUUUCUUUUAUUUUCCAAUUGAUUUGGUUGUUUAUCGUUGGUUGCGUGUGUUCGGUAAGUAACGGUUUUGUCUAUUGUUAAUUGUUCUUAGUUAAUCUCUGAAAGGGGGAUUCCUUUUUGGUGUUUCGGAGUUAAUCAAGGGGCUAGUGGUUAUGAAUCGAUGCUGUGAUUGUGUGAAGUCAUGAUUACUCAAGCGAGGUAAGGGUUUUGUUAGGUUUUUAGUUGAGUUCCUUCCAAAAUUGGUUAAUUAAAAAUGAAUUAAGUGAUUAAUCUGGAGAUUUGUUGGUCGAUUUUUAGGUUAUGGAGGCUUAGGAGUGCUUACGCAUUAGAAAUGAUACCAGGUGUGUACCCGAAAAGCAGAAAAUGAGAUUCGGCGAAAAGCAUAAAUUGCUUGCUAUUUGGACAGCAGCAGUGGGCUAACUUUAAAAAAUCAUCAUAAAUUGUGAAAAUUGAAUUAAAGGAUGAAAAAAGUAUGGAAUUAAAUAUUAUUGAGUCUAGUUUCUCAUAGAGAAAUGGUGUAAGUAAUGGAAUUGUAAAUCGUGAGAUAUAAUAAAUUUUGUGAGACAAGGUCAGAAUGAAUUCAGGUUUCCCUUUUUUGACUUUGGAAAAUCAUUAAAAAUUGUAUAAAAAUGAUUAUGGGUUAAAAUUUAUAUGAUUAAAAUUCUUAAUGAGUAUAUUUUCAAGAGAAACAAACCUUAACAUCAUCUGAAUCUCGUACUAAGAGAUAAUUAAUUUUUAGAGAAGAAGGGUCGAAAUUAUCAGACAGCAGAACAGGGACAAUUUUGAAGAAUUAACUGUACUCAUUGGCUAAACCAAAAAUUCUAAAAAUUUUAAGGUAAGAAGAUAUGUGAGUCUGUUUUUCGGGAAAAUCAAGCGGAUCUUAAUUUUGAAUUCUGUAGCUCUAGUUAUAAAUAAUUUAGUGACAAUGACUCAAGUAGACAACUCUGAAUGAUCAUAUUAGUAAAUAGUGGAAACAUAUAUGAAUAUUUAGCUAGCAUGGGUUACAUUAAAAAUGGAUCACACGGCCAAGGCCAAUUUGGGCCGAGUGGGCCACGCGGGCACAUGGGCGUGUGGGUCCAUUUUUACCAAAAUGUUUCUAAGGCUGCACAGGUUGCCCAAGUCGACUGUGAACCUACUGUAAGGUCGGUAAGUGCUACUUAAACCCCUAAAUGUGUGAAAUUGACUGAAUGAUAUUUGUACUGAGCAUGUUAAUAUCUAAACUGAAUAUAUGUACUGAAAUUGCAUAAUAGCAUAUCAUCCAUGGUAUGUUGCAUUGCAUUGGGUUGAGGGUUGUUAUUUGGAGGAAAUGUACUAAAAGGCUUUAAGCCUAAUUUACUGGAAUCUUAGCUACAAACUACUGUUUUGUGCCGCAAUAUUCAAUACUACUUGAAGUGUAGGAAUGGGUGGGUUGAUUAUAUCCCCACAUGGUGUGUAGAGGCUGGUUGGCAAAUGGAGUUUUAGUAAGCACAAGCAUCGUCAUCUGUCCAUCAUAACUUGGAAGACAACAAAGAUACUCAUAAAAUAGAUCUGCAAACUGAAAAGAGAGAAGUCAUGUGGAGUGAAUAAGAAGAAGAAAGAAAAAAAGGUUGGUGGGAGGAAGAAAAAGGGUCGCGAUAGCCAAUCCGAAGGUUGUCAAUGCCAUUGGGCAAAAUAAAACAUAAUAAACAAACGGCUUGGAGAAAAAAAUUAAGAAAGAAGAAAAAAUUUAGGCAAAAUUUAUAUUAAUGUAAGAAAUGUAGACUUAUUAUGAUAUUACAUUUUUUAGUGUGAUCAUUCAAUUAUUAAAAAUGUAUUUAUAACAAAUUAUGUAAAAUUUUAUAUAAGCAUAUAAUAUGUUAUGCAAAGAGAAUCACUUUUCUUAGUUGAAUUGUUAUAACACAUUAUACAAAAUAUAUUUUAAAUUAAAGCAUAAUGUGAAUACGAUACCAACCAACAAAUUAAAUUCGAUGAUUUAUGGAUAAUUACAUUUAUUACUCAAUUUAAUUUAAUUCAAAGAGCUAUUGAAUACACAUAACAAUUAAUUAUGAUUAAACUUUAAAUUUCACAGAAAAUAAAAAGAAAUAGAUUGUUGAAAAUGAUAAAAUGGAAAGAUAAAGCUACAAACUUCCUCCCCACAAACCUAAGAGCUUUUUAUUCAAAAUGCAGAAAUCAACAAAAUAGUCCUCACAAUCCAACUUAGCAUAGUAAAACAAUUAGGUGGGGAAAUCAAAUAGUAAAUUCCUUUUUCCUUGAAUCAACACCAACCGACUUUGUUGAAAUCUUCACUAUAGCUAAUCACAUUGCCUGAAGAUGUGAUAUGUAAGAAAAUUGGCCAUUGUUGAGUAACGACAGGUUGUGAUGCACUUUCCAAUAAAAGAAAACCAAACACUUCGCCAAUAAGGAUUUAUGUAAAGAACAACAAAAAUUGUCAAGACCACAACUAUAUAAGAAACCAGGAAGCUCACACAAAAAUCAUAUGUGUCUAGCAAACUGUCCUCUCCUUCAUCAUCUAACGAAUUUGAUCUAGUUGAUGGUGCAUCUGGUUUGGAGCAACUUUUAUGCAAAAUAGUUCCACAAAGAAAAGGGUUUCCCUCGUAACUACUUUCAAUAAAGGUCCCAAAUUGAGCUUUUGGUUCAGGAAUACUACCUGACAAGUUGUUGUGUGCCACACUAAAAACUUCCAAAGAGUUCAACUCUACCAACUGAUUGGGGAUUUCACCACUCAAGUUGUUGUAAGAAAGGUCCAAACUCUCAAUUUGAUGAAGUUUUGAGAAUGAUGAAGGUAUAACUCCGAUCAACUUAUUGUGUGACAAGUUUAAAGAAUAGAUUUCACUUAAGUUCCCUAAUUCUGGUGGGAUAUGACCAGUUAAGUUGUUGCAAGAUAAAUCAAUCCCGGUCAUAUAUGCAAGGAUGUUGCCCUCGUACGAAUACAACCCACUCUUUGUUGUGAACUCUAUUACUUCUUCUAAAUUCUAUUACUUCUUCUAAGUAGCUGUCAGGGUAGUAAGGAUUUAUAUCCCUUUCCAAUUUUCUCAUCGCAAUGGAUGUUGAUUCAUCCUUUUCUGUAAAUGGAAGAUAGAACCCAGUUGCUAGACUCUCUUUCUCUUUCAUUGGAAGAGAUAAAUUUCCCAAACAAGAAGGUAUAGGACCAGAAAACAUAUUUUGAGAAAGAUCUAUGAUGCUUAAAGAAUACAACUUGCAUAACUGAAUUGGAACUUUGCCAUGAAAAUGAUUAUCUUUCAAGAGAAGAACACUCAAAGAAGAAAGUGUGUCAAUCCAUUUUGGCAUGCUACCUGUCAAAUUUUUUUCUCUAAGAUCUAAAGUCACUAGUGAAGAGCUAUUAUAAAAAGCAAGUGAUAGUGGACCUCUCAGUCUAUUCCCGUGGAGGUGGACAUGCUUUAUGUUUGGUGGAUUAAAACAUGACGGUAUAGAGCCAGAUAAAUUAUUUUGAGAAAGAUCCAAAAACUCCAACCAAUUCAAGUUGCAAAAUUCCAUUGGAAUAGAACCCUCGAAACCAUUGUUGGACAAAGCCAAUCUCAAUAAAAAUGAUGCAUUCCCUAUCCAUCUUGGGAGCUUUCCAUGCAACUGGUUGUUACUGAGAUCAAUAUCGCUUAGUGAAUUUGGAAACUCAAAAGUAGACACAUCAACAUUUGUCACCUCUCCUGAAAAUUUAUUUCCAUCCAAAUAUAAAUUCUGCAGCCCAUUUGCUUUGAGAAUCGCAGGAACUACAUUUCCACUGAAGUUGUUAUUUGAUAGUCUCAAAAUGGUCAGUGAGCCUUUCGUGAUCAACUCUUCUGGUACUUUUCCAUACAAUUGAUUGUUUGAUAGAUCUAAAAUUGAUAAAUCCUUCAUGCCACUUAAACAAAGUGGGAUAUUACCUUCAAAAGCAUUCUUGGAUAAGAAUAACCGACUCAAAUGUGGAAAAGUUGAACAUAUACUGGUCGGAAUUUGACCUUGUAUUUUGUUUUCAGAGAUGUCAAUUGAAGAUACAUUAGAAAUAAGAGCUGACGAAAAUGAGAGAGGACCUGUAAAAGAAUUGCCCUUCAAGAUGAGAUCUUCUAACUUUGUGUUGUUUUCUAACAACCAAGUUGGGACCGUUCCACUGAAAUUGUUAUGAGAAAGAUCCACAUAUCUCAAGUCAUAUUGGUAGUAAAGGAAGGUAGGAAGCUUACGACUGAGCUGUUGAGAUGUUAUGCACUUUGACAAACUGAUGACUUCCAAUUGGAACUUUGGGAUUGAGGUAUAAAAGGAAGGUUCCGUUACCAUCUUGUUUUCAUUACUCAAGAGGGCUUUGAUAUUUGAAAGGUUUGCAAAUGGUGCGAAUGACAACGGAAUUUGAAAAUGGUUUCUUGAAAUAUCUAACACACGAAGAGCUGUCAAGUUACUAAAACAAUGAGGAAGCAUCCCCUCCAGUGCAUUCCCACUCACAUCCAAUACUUCAAGAUUCCUUAGAUCACACCAUCCUGAAAAAUUGAAAAAAUUGGUGGAAGAAAUUCUAAUUAAAUUUGGUCUUAUUUAAGAGAAUAUGAGAUAUUACACAAAGCUCAUACAAAAUUCAAUUUGAGCCAUAAAUUUAUUUACCUUGAUUAGGUAGGGGACCAAUAAGUCAACAAUCAUAUAAAGAUAAUGUUUUAAGAGAAACAAGUACUCCAAUGCUUUGCAAAAUAUUGGUGUUGAGAGUAGAAUAGUCAAGAUAUAUUUCCUCCACAUUUCUCGACACAUUUGAUUCUAAGCAAUGUCUAGAGAUAUUAGAUAACGAUAUUGUAAAUAGAAAAUUAUAAUUGAUCAUGAGAAAGAAGUUCAUAUUGACGAGAAAUGCCGAGGACAGCAAUCGCCAUCCCAUGUCAAAAAAAUCAUUUGAGAUAAAUAAUGUUUGAUUUUCUCAGUCUUUUAUUUUUUGUGAAUGAAAAGAAAUAUAAUUUACUUGAAGUUUUUUUAAUUAUUCGAAAAUGCCAUUUAUUUAUUUUAGGCCAAAAAAUUCCAUUUAUUUAACUGUAAUAUAUAUUUUUAUGUUUUAUAUUAUUAAAACCAUAUGAAAUUAAAAUGAUAGUUAUAUGACAUAUUUUUCCAUAAAUAUGAGUAUUUUUUAUUUAUAAUAUUAUUUUUUUAUUUUUAUAAUUAUUUUUUAUCUCAUAAAAAUUUAAUAAAUUAUUUUGAAAUUAUAUUUAUACAAACAAAAUAAUUAUGAACUCUAAUAUUUUAAAAUUAUGCAAAAUUUAAAAUAUUUUACUUUCAAACCGAAGACCAUAGGAUUUAUAAAAUGUUUCACCGAACCCAUAAGCUGAAUUUUUCCAUGUAUGAUAUAAAACAUAAAGACAAGGAUGAGCAACACAAAGACAGAAAAUUAUUAUUUGGUAGUUUGUUGAUUUACUUUAAGGAUUUAGCAGUUUCAAUCAUGUUCCUGUUAUGCUUUGAUUUUAUUUAGGUUCAUCCAUGUAAAACAAAGAAACAAAAACAUUAAUUAGUUGAAAAAUAAUUAAUUGUGUUAUAACAUAAUCCAAACCUUGUAUUAACAAAUAUUCUGUUUUUUAACCUUUUUCAACGAUGAAGUGGGGAGCACCGAUUCAGGGGCCAAGCAACAACUUUGUAUUGGAGGAUCGAUAUAAAAUUAUUUUUUUUGGAGGGACUAAAGUUAAAAUUAUUUGUGUUAAAAUUGUUGAAAUUGAAUUUUUAAUGUUUAAAGUGACUCAAAAUGCAAUUUUUAUGCAUAUAAUUAAAAAGCUACAGAGGAUUAUAUUGAAUAAUUAAAUUUUAAAAGGACUAAAAAGGGUAUUAUACCCUUGAUUAAAAUAUGUCAUAGGUCCUUGUACUUUUCAAAAAUUUGUAAUUUAGUCGAUAUACUUUUAUUUCUAAGGAUUUAGGCCCUCUACAUUUUCAAAUUUUAGAAUUUAAGUUCAAUUGUUAACAUUAGUUUUUUUUCCAAUGUUUUGAAAUAAAGAAAAUAUUCAAUUGGUAGCAAUGUAACUAAAAAAAUAGCAUUAUAAUGAACCUAAAUUUAACAAAAUAAUCUUAAUAGUGUCAACAAUUAAACUUAAAUUUUAAAAUCUAAAAAGUAGAGGGAUUAAAUUCGUAAAAAUAAAAAUAUAGAGACUAAUUUACAAAGAGUAUAAGGAUUUAUGUUAUAUUUUAACCUAUACCCGUUAGCCUAGGGGGGCCAAGACCUCUGUCUACCCCUUUGGCUUUUCCUCUACACCAAUUGAACAUUAGUUUAAUUGACAUUGUUGAUAUUGCAACAACUCUUUUUCUUUAUUUUCUUCAUCUUAUGAAAAAUGUUAAUUUUUAGUUUUGGACAUUUUUAAUAUGCUUAAAUUUGAGAUUUAAUUAUUAUCCUUUAUUUCUAAUUUAAAUUAAGCUUUAUAUUUUUAUAAUUUUACUAGUUAGUUCAAAUAGUUAAUUCAUUAACUUUUCAAUUAAAAUAUUAUGUAGUUAUAUAUUAUUUAAAAGUGGAUUUUUAAAUAGAUUAAAUUCUUAAAAAUAAAAGUUGAAGGAAAAAAAAUAAAAUUUAAACAAAAACGAAAGUUUAGUCAAAUGAUACCUUUAUGGAUCAUAAAAUCUAUCAAUUCAUUUGCCCUCAUAUUCAAAUGCAUCCAAAUCUGGAAAAAAAAGGGUAACAUAUAAACCUCAUUAUAUUAUCUUAAAACAUUAUUAAUGUUUUUGUUAAUUGAGUCAAGAUUUUGGGAAAAGAAAAUGUUUUUACCUUUUGCAUCUAUUGGUCCUUUCAAUUGAUUGCUUAUGGUCAAAGUUUUCAAAUUCAAAAGCUUGUUAAGAGAUGCAAAGACACUAUUAUUGAAGAGAUUGGAAUUUAAAUUAAGCUCUUUUAAGUGCGUCAAUUCCGAUUUUCUACCACCAUCUGCAAAAGAUUUACAUAAGUUCAUCACUGAAAAAAAUUAGCAUAAAAUUUAAUUAUAUAUAAAAACUUAGAUAACUCAUCAAAUAUAAAUACAUACCUUUGGAGGAUUGAAGGCUUUCAAUUUGAUUCUCGCUUAGAUCAAGUUUCUUCAAGUUUAUCAAAUUACUCAAUCCUAUAUAUUUUCACGUCCAAUUCAAAUAAUUAUGUUAAUAAUUUAAUUUUUACCGAAUAUUUGAAUGAGUUUCAUAAAAUAAAAACAAAAAAUUGGUUUGUUAGGCAAUUUUUUUAGGUGUUGUAGAAAUUUUAAGUUCCUCCAAGUUUAUUAUGCUUAAUUGUUUUUCAUCUAUAGUAGGAAGAAGAAUAGUUUCUAAUUAAUAUUAUAGGCUUUGAAUAUUUUAUAAGUUCAUCCCUUUGAAAAUUUAAUUUAUUCAAUAUAUAAAAAUCAUACUUGUACCUUUGUUUGAGAUGCUUUCAAUUCUGUUCCCACUUAAAUCCAAGUAGUUCAAGUCUGUCAAAUUAUUCAAUUCUGAAAUUCAAUCCUAAAUAUUGAUUAGUUAUAUAUAUUCAUGAUAUGAUAAAAUCAAAUAACAUAUUGCAAGUUUGCAACAACUUUUCCUUCAACAUAAAUUGAUUUUAAAGUACAAAAGAAACAAGUAAAAUCAAUCUACCUUGAAUAUGAAGCAGCCUUCCUUCCAACUGAUUACUACUCAAUCUUAAAGUCUUCAAGGAUGAAAGAUUUCUCAUAUCGAAUAGAAUGCUAUUCUUCCAAGAAUUCCCACUUAAAUUAAGAGUUUCCAAUUUAGUGAGUCUUGAAAGCCACUGAAAACCUGAUUUAUAUACUAUAUAAUUAGUUACUACUAAACAUAAUAAAUAAUAAUACUCUAAUUUUACAAUAAAAAUUUACUAAAAUCUGUCAUUGCCUGUUGGAAUAAUAGUCUAUCAGAAAAGUCAUGCACAAAUACUUAUACCUUGGUUUGAGAUGCUUUCAAUGUUGUUGUAACUUAAAUCCAAGUACUUCAAGUUUGUCAAAUUAUUCCAUUCUGAUGAAAUUCAAUCCCAAUGUUGAUCAGUUAUGUUUUCAUGAUAAGAUAAAAGCAAAUGAAAUAUUGCUAUAGCUUUUUCUUAAACCAAAUUGAUUUUAAAGUAAAAGGAAGCAUGUAAAAUAAGUCUACCUUGAAUAUGAAAUAAUAUAUAAAUACUAUAUUUAUACCUUUGUUUGAGAUGCUUUCAAUUUUGUUCCCACUUAAAUCCAAGGACUUCAAGUUUGUCAAAUUAUUCAAUUCUAAAAUUCAAUCCCAAAUGUUGAUCAGUUAUAUUUUCAGGACAAGAUAAAAGCAAAUGACAUAUUGCAAUAACUUUUCCUUAAACCAAAUUGAUUUUAAAGUAAAAAAGAAACAGGUAAAACCAAUCUACCUUGAGUAUGAAUCAACUUUCCUUCCAAAAGAUUGUAUCUCAAACUUAAAGUCUUCAAGGAUGAAAGAUUUCUCAUAUAGACCAUAUUGCUAUUCUUCAAAGAAUUCCCACUUAAAUAAAGAGUUUCCAAUUUAGUGAGCCUUGAAAGCCACUGAAAACCUGAUUUAUAUACCAUAUAAUAAGUUACUGCAAAACAUAAAUAAAUAAUAAUACUCCAUUUUUUAGUUAAUUUGAGUAAGUUCUUGUUAGUCUUUUUUUCAUCUCAACCAUAUGAAAAAUUAUUGAAGCAAAAACUAAGUUACAGGGGAUAAAAGAAUGGAAAAUCACUGUCAAACGUCACAAUACAAAUAAAAACUAACAAUAGACCAAACUUAAUUUACCUCUUGGAUGACUUGAUCCUUCGAACCGGUUGUGUGAUAAAUCUAAAUAUCGGAGAGACGAAAGCUCACUCAAAGAUAAUAGAAUGCUAUCAUUCAAGUGAUUGUAACUUAAGUAAAGGAUCUCUAAAUUACUUAAUGUGGGUGAUAGCUUUCCAAAACCUGUAGGAGUGUUCUUUUAAUUAUAUACAAGUAAUUAAUGACUUUUCUUCAGUAAAAUAAAAUAAAUUAUAAGUAAUUGCAAACUAACAAUGAAUAGAGAAAUAGAAUAAUAAAAUAUGUAAUUAAGGGAAAAUUAAAGGCACGACCUUCAUUUUCUAGGUUACCACCUAUGGCAUUCUCUGACAAAUAAAGACUCUUCAAUUUCUCAAAAGGAAGAAACAUAGAGGCAUUGAGAUACCAAUAAUCCAUGUUGUAUUCCCAUUUUGUAGAAUUAAGGGAGAGUUGUAUGACUCUCCUAGUGAUGGAGUUGCACUUAACUCUUUCCCAUUUACAGCAAUCUGAACCCUUCAGAUCAACCCAACUUUUCAAUGGGUUACCAUAAUUGAAGAAAGGUUUGAGAUGCAAGAGAGCGAUUCUCUCAUGCUCCAAACAAGCAUCAGUAGUACACCACCUACAUCCUUCUAACACCAACAACAGUACUGCCAUCCUAAUAAACCAUAACCAUUUCCACUCCAUCAUCAUCAUCUUUCUGUUUUCCCUUCUCUCUCAGCUAUAUGUUACUUUUUUAACUUCUAUAUGUAUAUAAUCUGCAGAAGCCUAAGCAGGACCUAUGCAUCCCACUAAUUCACUGUAGUAUUAAAAUAACAUAUAAUUAAUUAGUUCCUCAAAAAUUGAAUGAAUCUAGACUUGUGCUGCUCUAACUUAUACGUUAGGAAAUAAAUGUUGACACAAUUUUUUGUUUUAUUUAGAAGUUGUAGUUAACUAUAUUUGCUUGGAAUGAAACUGAAUUCAAAUCAAUCAAAUUAAUUAUAAUAAAAAAUAAAAUAUCAAAAAACUGUUCAAAAUAUGAGUUAUGUAGAAGCCCUGUUCGACAUAUUUUAACUUUUAUUCUUUAUAUAAAAAUGAGAGUUACAAUAAAUAGUAAAAAGAAAAUCUAAUCAAAUGCACUUUUCCAUAACAAAAUUAAUUGCAUUCCUUGUGGAAAAUGAACUCUUGACUUUGCCGACCAUCCUCGACUGAAAUAGGCUGCUAAUUUUAAUUUAGACUGUAGAAAAAAUUUUAACCCAAUUAAUGUCAUUUGAAAUUAAAAUUACUUUAUAAACCUUUUGUUAGCCCUUAAAUUAAUAAACCUUUGUAAAAAUAGUUAUUGUAGCUAAUUGAGUUUUAACUCAAUCGGUAUUGGUAUUGUUGUCAGUAAAAGAAGACGUAAGUUUAAGUGUGCAGAAACGUGUGUUUUCUCCUAUUUAAGGAUUAGGGUGGAUUAUGAAUAAUUCUUUGAAUUGUAUUAACUUAGAAGCUUUGAGAUACUCACAAUUGAAUUAAACAUUCAAUAUAUAUAUUUAUCUUAUUUUUUUUUCUAUUUCCGAUAAAUAAGAAAAGAUCAUUCUUUACGCCACCAUACGAUUUUAGUAUCACAAUCAAAUGAGACUUUUAAAAGUCUUAACACUAUACAAGUAGUUAGUCGACAAAACUUGCACUAAUUUACUCUUUACGCCGAAAUUAUUUACAAAGUGCAAACAACAUUACUUUCACACUAAUUUUUUCCUUCUAUUUAUGUGGGAUAAAUAUCAAAAUUAUAUAUGAAUUUUAAUUUAAUGUGUAAUAUUAUAUAUAAAUUUUGAUUUUGUGUAAUUUUAAAAUGAAAUUUUGAUUUGAUUUAAUUUUCACAAAUCAUUAACAACAUCAUCGAAUUAGUACUAUAUUACAUUGAUAUAUUGCAUGCACAAACAGGUAUACUAAACCAAUAUGAAAAUAAAUAUAUGUAUUCAUUUAUUUAAAUGUGUACAAUUGAAUCAAAAUAAAAGUUUCAUGUAUACAUAUGGAUCACAAUUCAAGUUUCAUACAUAUAAUUGUACCAAAUCAAAGUUCAUAUAUCAAAUUGCACAUUAAGCCAAAAUUUAUGUAUAAAUUUAAUAUUUAUCCCAUUUAUGGGAGAUUAGCUUUCCAAUGGUAUUGUUUUAUUUACAUUAAUCCAAAUAAUUGGAAAUGAUGAAUUAGUUUAACGAAGAUUGUAAUUCUAUUAAUGUUUCUUCUCGAAUUUUUGGUUGCUCUUAUUAGCAUGUUUUAUUAAUUGAUAGAUUUAAAUUCUUGGAAUAUAUUCUAAUUAAUUAGAUAUUUCCUUCCUUCCAAAAGCCUUUCAAAAUAGGUUUAGUUCGACCAAGAUACUCUUGUAGAAAAUUUUAGUUUUGUGGGAAAAAGAAAACUAGAUUUAUUUUUUACUCUAAUUGGUUUUAUAUGCAAGGUAUAUAAACUUUUGUGUCGCUGCAAUUUUUUUCCAACAUAUGUAUGUGAUUUGUGGGGUUUCAAUUUUGAAUUUUUUUUUACAAUUUAAUUAAAUUGUGAAAGUAUUUGAAAGUAUUUGAGUUGAUACAAUGUUUAGAACUACCCCAACACCCACCUAACCCUUAAAUAGGAGGAUAAACACGCUUCAGCACACUCGAACUCACAUCCUCCUACACCGAUGAUAAUACUAAUGCCAACAGAGUUAAGACUCAACCAGCCUUGAAUUUUGAAUUUUACUUCUUACACAUUUUGAAUUUUGAAAUUUUAGUUUUGACCCAAACAGUAGCAGUUAAAUCAAUUUGAUUAAAUUUAAUUACUAGUCCUAUAUUAUGCGUACGAUUAUUGAUUAGUCUAUACUCUCAAAUUGGGCAAUUCUAAGUACCUAUACUUUCCGAAUUUUGAAAUUUCAGUCUUGAUGCAAAUGACAAUUAUUAAUCCAUUAAUUUGAUUUUUAGUGAGUAAUAUGUGAAAAUAACAAACUGGUAUAACAUUACACAUAUGAUAAUAUGUUUAUUCCACCACAUUUGAAAAUAGCCGAAUUUAACAAAUAUUGUUAGUGAGGAUUGGAAAUUAGAGUCUAGCCCCCUACAAUAAUUUAGGUUAUGGAAAUAAUCUUGCAAAUAAUGCUUGAGACAUCAUUAUACAUCAAUUUAUAGUUUUAAUUCUUAUACUUACUCAAUUGGAAUAAAGAUUUAGUUUUUUAUUUUCUUUUAAUACAUUGUCUAGAAUCUUUAUUCCAAUUGAGUAAGUAUAAGAAUUAAAACUAUAAAUUGAUGUAUAAUGAUGUCUCAAGCAUUAAAAAUAACUAACUUCAUUAAAAAAUUCAUUAGUUGGCUCUCUAAGACUUAAAAAUUAAAAUUAUGUGGUUAUUAAAAAAGAAUUAUUUUUAUUAAAUUAUUAUUUAAAAUAAAUUUAUCUCAUCAUAAUGAUAUGAAUUUUUUUUCUUUAAAAAAUCCACAUUAACCGACUAAUAGAAUUGUAUAAAGCUGCCACCAAUCUCUUGGCAUGAUGGCAAAAGAUUCAGAGGCAAGCCAGAAAGUUUUUUGAGAGGAGUGAAUAAAGUUAUAUCUUUUUAUUAUAGUAAAAAUGAAAUUUUAUUAUUUUAAUAAUUUAUAUUUUUAUAAUUUUUAAAAGAUUAAAUAAAAUUUUUUUUUAUUUUUGAGGGGAUAAAGUAUAAGUUUAUCAUAUACUAAUUUAAAAAUUUUAAAAUUAUAAAAAGACUAAAGAUGAAAUUUUUCAUUUUAGGGAGAUGGGGCCCUGCCAGGUCCCUUGACUUCGCCUUGAUAAAAGUAUUAUGUUGCAAGUAUAAAGUUUGAGUUUAAUCUCGAACAAUCUCAUUUCUUAUCCCUAAUUAUAAAAUAAUAAAAUAAAUAGAGCAAUUGAUGUGAGGAGGCAAGUGUAAUAGGUCAAUUUUGACCUGGGCCAGAUUUCAAAACAAAACCCAAAUUAAAUAAUAAAAGAGUCCAAAAUAAUUAAAACAAUCCAUCCAUUUUACAAACAAACCCAAAUUAGCAGCCCAAAUACAAAUUAAAACUCAAUAACUCAAAACUAACCCUAGCCCAAUUAGCUCAACACUUAAACACAACAAAAAAACCCCUAGCCCCCUAAGCCUCCAACGCCGCAUGACCACCUGUGCCGCACGCCGCCGCCGCUCAAGGCUUGCCUAUCACCGACCAUCCACGCGUCUAACACUUGCAAAACCAAGGCAACAUGCAACAACAAAGGCCAAAUAGAGGAAACAACAAGGAAACAGACAAAAAAGGAAGAAACAAACAGUUUUGAUUUGGCUACAAAAGCCCGAAUCUCACCCUUGUAAUUUUUUCAAGAACAUUAGAAAAUAAAAAAACAAAAACAACACUUUCAAGGUGAAUUUCUACUUUUAUUUCUGUUUUAAAUACCUAUUUGAUUCUAUAUUCAUAUUUUUAUUUGAUUUUAUAUAUAUAAUAAAAUAAUAAAAUAAAAAAAGGAAGAAAGGGCUCACCGGAGACGCCCCGUGACCGCGCCGUCGGAGGGCUCUUCUCCAUUGUUGCCAUCGAAUCCGAGAGAGGGUCGGGAGUACUCCUCUUUUGUUUUUUUUGGGUCGAGAGGGCUGGGCUUCCAAGGGAGCUGUGAAACGGGGGCUAAAAACGACCUUUUGCGCAACGCCGGCCACCGGCCACAGGCCACAGCGGCGCUGCGGCGGCAACCCUGGCCUGCCAAGGGGUGGGCUGAGAGAGAGACCAAGAGAGACUGAGAGAGUUCUCUAUUUUUUUAGAAAAAUAAAAGUUGAACUGUUUUUUUCUUUUUCUUUUUGCUAUUUAUAUAGGGUAUAAAACUGCGUCGUUUUGGACUUAAGCAUCAGUGGCCAAAAUGACGCUGUUUUGCAUCAGACCCGAAAGCCAACCCGAAUGCAGUCAGGAUCCUAGCGCAUUUUAGCUUUGAGGAGCUAUUUGCAUAUUCAACCCUUCCGCUUUUGCAAUAUAGUGCAAUUUGGUCCUCGUUGUUUUUAUAUUUUGGCCGCAUAAUUUUCUGAUUGUUUUACUUUGGUUCGAGCUAAAACGCUACGCAUGGGGGCUGGGAAUAUUUGCCAGUCGGUCCCUCAUUCCUUAAGCACGCUCUAUUUCAGUCCCUAGGCUUUUUUUAUUUAUUUGCAAUUUGAACCCCAAAUUUUGGGUCGAUUUCAGUAUCAUCCUUAGUCCAUUUAAUUUAUUUGUUCAUUAUUAUUUUUUAUUUAAAAAGCUCUUUUAUUAUUAUUUGUUUUAAGUUUUUUAUUUAUCAUUUACUUUAAACUGUUUUACAUACUAUUUAUUUAAAAUUUUUUUAUAUUAUUCAUUUUAAACCAUUAUAUGUACAUUAUCUUUUAAAUUCUUAUAUACAUAUAUAUAUGUCGAAACCGUUUUUUUGAAAACAAAAAUUUUUAGUUUCGACUUAAAAAUAAAAACUGGAGUCGCCACCGAUCCUUGAUUGAGGUGUGACCGGCUCACCUUAAAAACAAUUUUGGUCUACGAGAUUUGAGAAAAUGAGUCCGGGAGUCAGUUACGCACGAGGAAGGAUUAGCACCCUCGUAACACCCAAAAUCGGUACCAAAUUGAUUCUUUAAUGCCUUGGUGUCGAAAAUUUGAAAAGAUUUUAAAAGGAAACUUUUUAUUUCAUGAAUGAAUCAAAAUAAUAAGACAUUCUUAUUUCAAAGAAAUAAAACACCACACCCAGUGAGUUAGGGCACAAUAUUUUUAAAUCUUCAAAAUACCCGAAUAUUACCUUUUGCUUUUGAAAAUUCUUAUUUCGAGAAGUCAAAAUAUCAGGACCAGUAAGUUAGGACCCAACAUUUUUGAACUCCCAAGAAUAAGCUUUUAUUUAAAAUUUACGAAUUUAUUGCAAAACAAAUACUUGGCUUUCUAAAUUCAUCGAAAAAUAAUCACGAUCCAGUCAGUUAGGACACGAUCUUUCUCGAGAAUCAUGAAUGCCAAAUAUUUUGGAAAUUUGUAAAAUAUGAUGAUUUUAAUGCCUUGACGAAGCCAAUAUAUAUUUUCUUUAAAAGCAUGAUAAAAUGUUAAUGCAUAACAUGAAACCAAUACUUUAAUUUAAAUCGUAUGUAUAUAUGUAUUUGCAAAUCGCGAAAAUAAAAUAAAUAUAAAUGUAUGGAUAUGUCAUGAAAAUAUGUGUGCAUUUAAAUAUAUGUAUAUAUGUACAAUAUGUAUAAAACCAUGAAAUAUAUAAAAUAAUAAAGAAAAAUGUGUACGUAUAUGUAACAGAGAAUGCAUGUAUGCUUUAAAUUAUAAGAUAUAGGAAAUAAAUAUGUUACAACAAUGUAUAUCUAUAUAAAAUAUAAAUGUAUAUAAAAGUAAGUAAAAGUUAUGCAAGUAGAAUAAUAAAAAAUAUAUAUAUGUAAGGUGCAUGGGUUUAUAAAAAUUAUUUUUAAGAAAAAAUGUAUGCAUAUAUUAUUGUAGAGAAUAAGCAUAUGUAUAUAUAUAGUAAUGGUAAUAAUAAUAAUGAUAAUAAUAAUAAAAAUGAUAAUAGUAAUAAUAAUAAUAAUAAUAAUAAUAAUAAUAAUAUAUGACAUAAUUAAUAAUAUAAAAAACAACAAAUUAAGGAUUAAAUUGGAAAUAAGCGAAGUUUUGAAACUAAAUUUAAAGAUGGGAAUUAAAUAAGGACCAAAUUAAGAUGCGCGCAACAGUAGGAGGAUCGAAAAGAUAAUUUGCCCAAACCUCCCAAAUGCUGCGCAGCAACAUGGACCAAAUUGAAACAGUAUUAAAACAUAUGGCCUAAUUUAAAAAAAUAAAAAGACGGAUUUAAACACCCCUCAUAAAACAGAGGACCAAAUGUGAAAUUGUCCCCUUUCACAGAAAUGCGCGGAUCCUUCCCCGGGUCGGGUCACCGCACGGGUCGUAGGGCUGAAACGGCGCCGUUUUUGUGCUUACCCUUCGGCCCAAAACAGUGCCGUUUUCGGUAAGCUAUAAAUACAAUGUUUUUUUUUAAAAAACUCAUUGUUCUUUCUAUUUCAAAAAAAAAACAAAAAAAAAAUUUCCUUUUCUCUCAAGCAGGCCCAAAAUCCGGCCAAACUCCGGCGAGUGGCCACUGCGCCGUUCACGGCGGCGGGGAGUAAAAAAUCUCGCCUUUUUUAAACUGUUUUUAGAUCCCGUUCAAUAGUCAAACUGCUUUGGCUCAAAAGGAUGACCCUUGGCCCCUUCUCCUCUCGGAUCCGACGUUCUUGAAGGAGGAGAGCCCUCCGACGGUGAACCCGCAAGGCAAAUCAGGUAAGCCCGUUCCCCUUUUACUUCUUAUUUAUUAUGCGUAAAAAAAACAAACAGAAAGAGCAAACAAGGAAAAAAAAAACCGAAUCUAAGGGAAAAAAAAACCUCCGUUUUGUAUUUUAUUUUUUCAAAUCUUUUUUCUUCGUAUUUUCCUCUCUAUUUUCGUAUGUCUUUACACUCAAGACCCCCCUUUUCAGAUCUCCCCCCACGGCUUUUAAAUAGUCGAAAAUAACAACAAAAUAAGCAACAAAAUCAUAUCUCCCUUCAAUAUUGGUUGCGAUUUUUGCUACUACUCUGCUAUUGCUGCGCCAUAUGCUUCUUUUUCGCAGGUGUGGUGGCUGUUGAGUGCGUGGGAGCGACAAGCGCGAUGUGCGGCGCUUGCGGAGGGGUGGUGCGCAGGGUGAUGCGGCGCUGAAGCAGAAAGGGCUAGGGUUUCUGGACUGGGCUAGGGUUAAUGUAAUUGGGCUAAAUUUUUGGGUUUAGUCUGUAGAUGGGUAAUUGGGUCUGCUAUGUUUUUAUUUUAUAUGGGCCCGGGCAGAAAAAUUGGGUAUUACAAUAUAUAUUAAAAAAAACUGUUGUAUGUUUCUUAUUUAUUUAUUUUAAACUGUUAUUAUUAUUCAUUUUAAGUUUUUAUAUACUGUUUAUUUGAAGCCUUUUAUUAUUUAUUUUUGAAUUGUUCUUAUAAAUUAUUUAAUUUAAAUUAUUAUUCUUUGAAUUUUUUUUUUUGCAUAUUAUUUUGUUUUGUUUUCUUUGAUUGUUAAUAUUAGUAUAAAAAAUGAUAUACAUUGUGUGACUAUUACCAUCAUGUGUACUAUAAUUAGUUUCUUCGUGUUUUCAUAUUAUUAUCACUCAUUAACAUAUAUAACAUUUUUUCAUAAAUUGUUAUUUUAUGUUCUAUGUUAUCAUUCCAUUUCACUUCAUCACUUUGAAAUUAAGUUGCCUUCAAUUUGUGUUUACCCAUAAUAAACCGUUCUAUUUUGUCACAAAUAAAACAAAUGCACCUCGUUCAAGCAUUGUACUCGCAAUUAUUCAAAAAAGAGAAAAAUUUUAAAAUAAGGCAAUAUUUCGCAUUUUGGAGAUUCGAGAAAUUGUACCCUAACUUACGAGGUUUCAAUUUUCUCAUUGAACCUAAAUAGCAAAAUAUCUUUCUAAUUUUCAAAAUUUACGAAUUCCAAUAAAGUUAAAGGCUAGCUUAUUCUCGAGGGUUUCAAGUGUCGUGUCCUAACUUACGGGAUGUGACAUUUAUUAUCUUGAGACGAGAGGAUCUUUGGCAUUUGUUUAGAUUUAUUCAAGCAAAUUCUUUUAAAUUGAAAUAGCGUUAACAAAAGGGGGAUUGUGUUUUAAAUUCUUUCGAAGUUUUUCAAUUUUUAAUAUUUAGACAUUAAUUAAUCAAUUGGGUACCAAUUUUGGGCGUGACGAGGAUGCUAAUCUUUCCUCGCAUGUAACUGAUUCCCGAAUCCGUUUUCUCAAAUUUCGCAGACCAAAAUCACUGUUUUGAUAAAUUAAAAUAUUUUAUUAAAACAACUAAAUUAUGAGAUGACCUAAUCACACCUCGUAAAAAAAAUAUUGGUGGCGACUCCCGUUUUAAUUUCCGUUUUCAAACCAACACCGACCCUUUUAAAAAAAAUGGUUUCAAUAUUAAGUUAUAAGUGAAUGAAUUAAAAAUAUGUGAAAAGUGUAAAUAAAGACUCUUCAAUCUCAUUUCCUCUAAUGCUCUUUUUUUUUUUAAUCAGAGAAGUUGUAAUUGACUGGAAUGAAAUUAAUAAUCGCCUUAUUAUUUCACUUUUUUUCUUCAUAUGUUUGGCGUCAGUACAGGUUGGACUGAUUUUAAAGUUGAAGUAAAACGAUAUCAAACAAAAACCAUUCUGGUUUUUAAAAUUAUGAGUCCAAAUCAAUCCAAUUAGUUUAACUAGAUUUUAAUGUCUUAUGUGUUAUGAUGAUGAAGCAAGUUGAUCAAGGGACUUGCUUCAUCUUUCAAAAUAUGAGUUGCUUAAGAGCCCUGUUUGACGCUUUUUUUUUUCUUAAAUUACAAACGAAAAGGUAUUUUUUAAAAAAAAAUUAACUUAAUGAAUUUUUUAUAGAUAUAAAUUUCCUGCAAAGUUAUUCUUUUUGAAAAAAUAUUUUUUUAAUUUUUUAUAUACCUUUUAAAUAGUUAAUGAAAAUAAGAGUUUUCAUUUCGAAAUGCAAAAGCCAAAAACAGUUUUUGACUACAAAAGCUGUGUGUUCUUCAUCACUUCUGCAGUGGAAAAACACUUCUGCAGUGUAAAAACACUUUUAACCCAAAACGGGUUUUCACCUAAGUAGAGAAUCCACCCUAAAAUUGUAAAUAGAAAAAGGAAGGACCAAACAUUGUUUCUACCCUGUUUUUGUCUCCUCUUUGAAAAUACUUUCCAAAAAGUUUUAUCAUUUUCUUUUUAUUAAGUUUUCUGUUGGAUCUUAUAGUCAAAUUCCUUUACAUCAUGUACGUUAAUUUGCUUCGCUCUGAUAAAUGUUAGAUAUAGGGUUAUCAGCUAAUUAGGAAAGACUGAUGAUAGUCACCCCUUACAUCCAAAAGCAAAGCUUUUUUCACAUGUGUAUGUAAGGUUGCUAAGCAAAUCUGAUGAGCCUUCACUGAUGUUUUAAGGUUUAAGUUGAUGUUCCUUUUCGGCAAAGAACAUUAUCGAGAUCACAGAAUUUUGAUCGCCUUUUGCUUGUUAUGUUAUUCGUUCUUAAACGAUUGCAUAAUCUUUACUGUGAUUGCAGGAUAUAGAGGAACUUUUGAAUUUCAUCGGUGUAACGAGUUUAGGACCUUGGCAUGUUCUUGCAAAUUUGAAGGAGCUUCUAAGGUCUGUCCAGUCUUCAGAAUAUAUAGAUACCUGAAUUAAUUUUGAUUUUGUAGGAUCAACUAUAAUUAGCUACUUAUUACAGUAUGAAUAGACAACCUGACCUUCUUCACACACGACACAUGUGCGGAUUUUUUUACCAAUCCCAUUUCAUUAAAGAAAAAAAAGAGCUUUAAAAAAGGAUCACACUUUUUUGUUGUUUACAGAAUCAUAAUGUUAAUUAGAGUGGAAUAUUUCAGAUUUCUGAUAAUGAGUAUAUUAUUGAGUAUUGCAGUAAAAAAAUGGGUGUGCAACUUAUUUGAACUUUGAAUGUAUGUUUUGUUGGUGAGAAUAUAAAGUUGAUAAAGAUUUGGUAAAUAGAAUAAAAUACUAUUUUUUAUUAGAAAAAAUAUUUGGUACACUGCCAAUCGAGUUAUAAUUAUCAUGACACAAUAUUAAGGGUAAUUAAAACAUGUCAUAUUACAAAUAAUAAAAUUAUAAUGACUCAAAUCUGCAAACAUGUCAAAAUUUACGUACAAUGAAUUAUUAACAUGUAAAUGUAUAAUAUGGUAUGCAAAAAUAAGAUCAUUGCUUGUUUUUUAAAUUGAAUUGUUAUAACAUAUUGUACAAAAUACAUUGUGAAUUAAGGCAUAAUAUGAACAUGAUAUCAAAAUAUUAAAUUUUUUUAAAAUUCGAUGAUAUGAAUAAUUAUGUAAAAUAUAACAUGAUACAAAAUAACUUGAAAGGAAAAGAGGAAUAAAGAAUUGCAUUGUUUUUGAGGUUUUAAAAUAUUUCAGUUUUAGAUUCAUUUUUCUAGUAUGUUUGGUUUAAUUUUACAUUAGAUUUCCUUUACAGUAUGCACUAGUGAACGCUUAGUAUUCAAUUUAAUUUAAUUCAAAGAGAUAUUGCAUAUACAUAAUAAUGGAUUAUGAUUUUACAUUAAAUUUCAUAGAAGAAAAAAGAAAUAGAUGGUUGAAAAUGAUAAAAUCAUAAGAUAAAAGAGCUUUUAUUUAAAAUUCAAAAAUCAACAAAAUAUUCAUUAUCGCUCAACUUAGCAUAAUUAAACAUUUAGGUGUGAAAAUCAAAUUACAAUUUGAGUAGCUAAACACAUUGCUUGAAAAUGUGAUAAGUAAGAAAAUUGCCCACAUUUGAGUAGCGACAGGUGGUGAUGCAUUUCCCAAUGAGAGAAAACCAAACUCUUCGCCAGUAUGGAUUUAUGUAGAGGACAACAAAAAUUGUCAACAACACAACUACAUAAGAAACCAAAAAGCUCACACAAAAAUCAUAAGUACCUAUCAAACCAUCUUCUCCUUUAUCUUCUGAUACAGUUGAUAUCGUUGAUGGUGAAUCGGUUUUGGAACAACUUUUAUGCAAUAUAGCUCCACAAAGAAAAAGAUUUCCCUCAUAACUGUUUUCAAUAAAGGUCCCAAAUUGAGCUUUUGGUUCGGGAAUACUACCUGACAAGUUGUUGUAUGCCACGCUGAAAACCUCCAAAGAGUUCAACUCUACCAACUGGUUGGGGAUUUCACCACUCAAAUUGUUGUAAGAAAGGUCCAAACUCUCAAUUUGAUGAAGUUUUGCUAAUGAUGAGGGUAUAACUCCUGUCAACUUAUUAUGCGACAAGUUUAAAGAAUAGAUUUCACUUAAGUUCCCUAAUUCUGGUGGGAUAUGACCAGUUAAGUUGUUGCAAGAUAAAUCAAUCCCGGUCAUAUAUAUAAGGAUGUUUCCCUCGUACGAUAAGAACCCACUCUUUGUUGUGAACUCUAUUACUUCUUCUAAGUAGCCUUCAGGAUAGUAAUAAUUUCCAAGAGCUCCCAAUGUUUUCGCUAAUCCAUCCCCUGUUAACCUUGGUCUAAUUUUCGAAUCAGUUAGAAUCUUAUUUGUUUCCGUUGAAAGGGUUAAAUUUCCCAAACAAGAAGGUAUAAUACCAGAAAACAUAUUUUGAGAAAGAUCUAUGAUGUUUAAAGAAUCCAACUUGCAUAACUGAACUGGAACUUCACCAUGAAAAUGAUUAUCUUUCAAGAGAAGAACACUCAAUGAAGAAAGUGUGCCAAUCCAUUUUGGAAUACUACCAGUCAAAUUGUUUCCUCUAAGAUCUAACGUAACCAGUGAAGAGAUAUUAUAAAAAGCGAUUGGUAGUGGGCCACUUAGUCUACUCCCGUGCAGGUGGACAUGCUUUAUGUUUAGGGUAUUAAAGCAGGACGGUAUAGAGCCAAAUAAAUUGUUUUCAGAGAGAUCCAAAAAUUCCAAGCGAUUCAAGUUGCAAAAUUCCAUUGGAAUAGAACCCUCGAAACCAUUUUGGGACAAAGCUAAUCUCUCCAAAAAUGACACAUUCCCCAUCCAUCUUGGGAGGUUUCCAUAAAACUUGUUAUUUCUGAGAUUGAUUUCCCUUAGUGAAGUUGGAAACUCAGAAAUAGAGACAUCAACAUUUGCCAUCUCCCCAGAAAAAUUAUUUCCAUCCAAAUAUAAUUUUGACAGCCCAUUUGCAUUGAGAAUCACAGGAAGCACAUGUCCACUGAGGUUGUUGUUUGAUAGUCUCAAAAUGGUCAACGAGUUUUUUGUGAUUAACUCUUCAGGUACUCUUCCAGACAAUUGAUUGUUUGAUAAAUCUAAAAUCGAUAAAUCCUUCAUGCCACUCAAACAAGGAGGGAUAUCACCUUCGAAGGCAUUCUUGGAUAAGAACAAUAGGCUCAAAUGUGGAAAAGGUGAACACACGUUGGCUGGAAUCUGACCUUGCAAUUUGUUUUGGGAUAUGUCAAUUAAAGACACUUUAGAGUUAGGAGCUGACGGUAAUGAGAGAGGACCGGUAAAUGAAUUACCCUUCAAGAUGAGAUCUUCUAACUUUGUGUUGUUUUCUAACAACCAAGUUGGGACUGUUCCGCUGAAAUUGUUAUGAGAAAGAUCCACAUAUCUCAAGUCAUAUUGGUAGUAAAGGAAGGUAGGAAGCUUACAACUGAGCUGUUGAGAUGUUAUGCACUUUGGCAAACUAAUGACUUCCAAUUGGAACUUUGGGAUUGAGGUAUAAAAGGAAGGUUCCGUUACCAUCUUGUUUUCAUUACUCAAGAGGGCUUUGAGGUUUGAAAGGUUUGCAAAUGGUGCGAAUGACAACGGAAUUUGAAAAUGGUUUCCUGAAAUAUCUAACUCACGAAGAGAUGUCAAGUUACUGAAACAAUGAGGAAGCNNNNNNNNNNNNNNNNNNNNNNNNNNNNNNNNNNNNNNNNNNNNNNNNNNNNNNNNNNNNNNNNNNNNNNNNNNNNNNNNNNNNNNNNNNNNNNNNNNNNNNNNNNNNNNNNNNNNNNNNNNNNNNNNNNNNNNNNNNNNNNNNNNNNNNNNNNNNNNNNNNNNNNNNNNNNNNNNNNNNNNNNNNNNNNNNNNNNNNNNNNNNNNNNNNNNNNNNNNNNNNNNNNNNNNNNNNNNNNNNNNNNNNNNNNNNNNNNNNNNNNNNNNNNNNNNNNNNNNNNNNNNNNNNNNNNNNNNNNNNNNNNNNNNNNNNNNNNNNNNNNNNNUAAUUCUAAAGGAUGAGAAGAGGUAUUAGAUGUUAAUCAAACGUAAUCUGUUUUGGAAAAGAAAAUCAUGUUCAGAUAAUGGUAUUGUAGAUAAAAGGUUUUAACUGAUGAGAAAGCCUCCACUAAAUUUUGUAAUGGAAUGCUUCCAUCGGUGAAAACGUGAUCAAGAGACACAACUUUCAAAUUUCUCAAUCCCUUAUUUUCUGUAAGUGAAAGAAAUAUAUAAAUAUUUGUUUUCAUGAAUAAGAUAAAAGUUUAAUAGAGAAUGUCCAAAUCUUAACAUAACUAUUCAUUCAUUUUAUUAAUUAAUAAACUAAUCCUUUUUAGUCAUUCUAAGAUANNNNNNNNNNNNNNNNNNNNNNNNNNNNNNNNNNNNNNNNNNNNNNNNNNNNNNNNNNNNNNNNNNNNNNNNNNNNNNNNNNNNNNNNNNNNNNNNNNNNCAAGUUCUUUUAUUUUAAAAUGUCAACACCAAUAAAUUAUUUUUUUUUUAAAAAUAACAAUGUUAACAAUUGAACUUGGAUUUUAAAAUUUAAAAAAUAGAGGGAUCAAAUUCCCGAAAAUAAAAAUACAAGAAUUAAAUUACAAAUUUGUAAAGAGUACAUAGACCUAUCACAUUUUUUUUAACCAAAAAAUUAACAACAUGUGCAUUUUGAAAUAUAUAAAAAGUUAAAAAAAAAAGAAGUUUAAGCACCUCAAAAUGUAUGUUUAAAUUUCAUAAAAUUGAAGUUUUUUUUAUAUUAUUCAAAAUUGACAUUUAUUUAUUUUUGGCCAAAAAAUGCCAUUUAUUUAACUCUAAUAUGUAUUAAAAAUAUAUGAAAUUAAAAUAUAGUUAUAUUACAUAUUUUCCCAUAAAUAUAUGUAUUUUUACUUAUAAUAUCAUUUUUAUUGUUAUAAUUAUUUUUUAUCUCAUAAAAAUUCAAUAAAUUAUUUAAAAAAUAUAGUUAUACAAACAAAAUAAUUAUAAACAUUAAUAUUUAAAAAUUAUGAAAAAUUUAAAGAAUUUUAGUUUCAAACCAAAGUCGAAACACAUUAUAAUGGAGGGUUUAGAAAAUGUUUCACCAAACCCAUAUUUUACUUUCAAGUAUGAUAUGAUAUAACUUUAUUAAUAUUUAUGACAAUAACUGUUAUUAUAAUAUCUGAGAUCAAAACUAAAUUUCUAAAUUAAAAAAGAAAAGGAAAUUUAAUUAAAUGAUACCUUGGUGGAUCACAAAAUCUCUCAAUUCAUUAUAGCUCAUAUCUAGUUCCCUUAAUUUGAUAAAUGCUUCCAAAUCUAGGAAAACAAAAACAACAAAUUAAUCAACUCCAUUAUAUUCUCUUAAAACAUUAUUAUAUUCUUGUUAAAAAACUAAUAUUUUUACCUUUCAUAUCUAUUGAUCCUUUCAAUUGAUUGACCCUUAUGCUCAACGAUUUCAAAUUUGAAAGCUUGUUAAGGGAUGCAAAUGCACUAGUAUUGAAGAGAUUUCCAUCUAAAUUAAGCUCUUCCAAGUGGGUCAACUCCAAUUUUCUACCACCAUCUACAAAAGAUUUAUAUAAUUUCAUCACUGAAAUGAAUUGGCAUAAAAUUUAAUUAUAUGUAAGAAUUUAGGUAAUUGGUUAAAUAUAAAUGCAUACCUUUUAAGGAUUGAAAGCUUUCAAUUUGAUUCCAACUUAAAUCGAGUUUCUUCAAAUUCGUUAAAUUACUCAAUCCUAUACAUAUCCUCGUCCAAUUUAAAAAAUCAUUAUGUUAAUAAUUUUAAUUUCUACUUAAUAUUUUAAUGAAAUAAAAAUGAAAAAAAAGUAAAUCUAAAACUUGGAAUGAAGAUGAAAAUCCUCAAACGUGAAAUGUGAAUGUUCAAAAUUGAAACAAUUAAUUUUAAAAGGUUCUAGAAAGAAUUAUCAAGAAAAACAAAGUUAUAGCUUUAGUACCUUUAGUAUCUAAUGAACCUUGCAAAUGGUUGUAGUACAAAGUCAAAGACUUUAGGCUUGAAAGCCCUUGAAGAAAGGAAAUUGUGUUGUUCCGAAAGAGAUUAUCACUCAAGUCAAGUUCCUCCAAGUUUGUUAACCUCAGUAGUGUUCCAUCUAUCAUUGGAAGAAAAUAAUGAGUAUAGUUAAUAUCAUUCAAGAUAUAAAUAGUUAGGAAAAAUGAUUGUUUGAGAAGGAAGAGCCAGUUUACAAGCUUUCCCAUGAAUUGAUAACUACAUUUUACAAGUAAAACUUAAUUGAUUCAAUAUAUAAAUACUUUGUUUGAGAUACCUUCCUACUUUAAUUACUCAAUCCCAAAUAUUGAUUACUUAUAUAUAUUCAUGAUAUGAUAAAAGCAAAUGACUUAUUAAUUGCAACAGCUUUUCCUUCAACAUGAAUUUAAUGCUAUUCUUCAAAUAAUUCCAACUUAUAUCAAUAAUCUCCAAUCUAAUGAGCCAUUGAAAACCUGAUUUAUAUAUUAUAUAAUUAGUUACUACAAAACAUAAAUAAAUAAUAAUACUCCAUUUUUGCAAUAAAAAUUCACUAAAGAAAAUACAUUUGAAGUUUGUCAUUGCCUUUUGGAAUAAGAGUCGGUCAAGAAAGUUUGUUAGGCUUAAUUGUGUUCCAUCUAUGAUUGGAAGAAAAUAAUGAGUAUAGUUAAUAUCAUUCAAGAUAUAAAUAGUUAGGAAAAAUGAUUGUUUGAGAAGGAAGAGCCAAUUUAGAAGCUUUCCCAUGAAUUGAUAACUACAUUUUACAAGUAAAACUAAUUGAUUCAAUAUAUAAAUACUUUGUUUGAGAUACCUUCCUUCUUAAUUUAUUCAAUUUUGAAAUUCAAUCCCAAAUAUUGAUUACUUAUAUAUAUUCAUGAUAUGACAUAUUGCAACAACUUUUCCUUCAACAUGAAUUUAUUUUAAAGAAUGCUAUUCUUCAAACAAAUCCAACUUAUAUCAAUAAUUUCCAAUUUAAUGAGCCACUGAAAACCUGAUUUAUAUAUUAUAUUAUUAGUUACUACAAAACAUAAAUAAAUAACAAUACUCCAUUUUUGCAAUAAAAAUUCACUAAAGAAAAUACAUUUGAAGUUUGUCAUUGUCUUUUGAAAUAAGAGUCGGUCAAGAAAGUUAUGCACAAAUACUUAUACCUUUGUUUGAGAUGCUUUCAAUGUUGUUGUCACUUAAAUCCAAGUACUUCAAGUUUGUCAAAUUAUUCAAUCCUGAAAUUCAAUCCCAAAUAUUGAUUAGCUAUAUAUAUUCAUCGUAUGAUAAAAUCAAACUUGAACAUACAUUGAUUUUUAAAGUUAAAAAGAAACAGGCAAAAUCAGUCUACCGUGAAUAUGAUCCAGCCUUCCUUUCAACUGAUUAGCGCUCAAUCUUAAAGUCUUCAAGGAUGAAAUAUUUCUCAUAUGGAACAGAAUGGUAUUCUUCAAAGAAUUCCCACUUAAAUCAAGAGUUUCCAAGUUAUUGAGUCUUGAAAGCAAUUGAAAACCUGAUAUAUAUAUAUAUGUAUAUAUAAUUACUUGUUAAUUGUUUUCUUCUUUCUUCGCUAUAUGAAAAUUUUACUAAAGCAAAAGUGGAAUUACAACGAAUAAAAAGAAUGGAAAACUUGGUACCAAGCCUAGAAGACCAUCCUCAAACUCCACUAUACAAAUAAAAACUAACAUCAGACCAAACUUAAUUUACCUCUUAGAUGACUUGAUCCUUCAAAUUUGUUGAUUGAUAGAUCUAAAUACCGGAGAGAUGAAAGCUCACUCAAAGAUAACAAAAUGCUAUCAUUCAAGUAAUUUUCACUUAAGUCAAGGAUCUCCAAAUUACUCAAUGUGGAUGAUAGUUUUCCAAAGCCUGUAGAAGUGUUCUUUUAAAUAUAUACAAGUUAGUGACUUUUCUUUAAUAAAAUAAAAUAAAAUAUAAGUAAUUGUAAAUUAACAAUGGUGAGAAUAGUGGAAUAGUAAAAGAUGUAAUUAAGGAAAAAUUAAAGGCACGACCUUCAUUUUCAAGGCUACCACCUAUGACAUUUCCCGACAAAUAAAGUCUCUUCAAUUCCUCAAAAGGAAGAAACAUAGAGGCAUUGAGAUACCAGGCAUUGAGAUUCCUAUUAUCCAUGACGUAUUCCAUAUUGUCUUCCCAUUUUGUAGAAUUAAGGGAGAGUUGUAUGAGUCUCCUAGUGGUGGUGUUACACUCAACUCUUUCCCAUUUACAACAAUCUGAACCCUUCACCUCAACCCAACUUUGCAAUUGAUUACGAUAAUUGAAGAAAGGCUUGAGAUGCAAGAGAGCGAUUCUCUCAUGCUCCAAACAAGCAUCAGUAGUACACCAACUGCAUCUUUCUAACACCAACAACAUUACUGCCAUCCUAAUAAACCAUAAGUACCAUUUCCACUCCAUCAUCAUCAUCAUCUUUCUGUUUUCACUUCUCUCUCAGCUAUAUGUUACUUUUUCUUAACUUCUAUAUGUAUAUAAUCUAAAGAAGCCUAAGCUUCUUUUUUAUAUACAAGCAGAACAUUUUGCAUCCCACUAAUUUACUAUAAUAUAAAAAUAAUAUAUAAUUAAUUAAUUCCUCAAAAAUUGGAUCAAUCUAGGCUUCUUAUUUACGUAAAUUCCUUAUUGCAAAACCUCUUGGUAGAAAUUCGUUAGGAAAGGAUGAAUGGACCACAAGAAUGCUUAUCAACUCUUGACUUUGGCGUCCAAUGCUAAAUUUAUUUUAAAAUUUCUUCAUGGAGACAAGAUGGGAUGACAAGAAUGAUAAGUUUUAAGUCAUUUAAGUUUACACAAUUUUAAUCACUCAUAAAAACAAGUAUUGACAUUCUAUUAAAGAAUUUAAACAUGGCUUAACGUUGAUUUUAAAUCUAAUGUUGAUGUUAAUCUUGAAAAAAGAAUGGCCAAAAAAAUAUGAAAAGUGAGAGGUGGACAUAAAAUAGUGUAGUUGGGGUUAUAAAAUUCUUCAUGUAGACAUUAUAUUUUUUUUAUGCCUUUUUUACACUUAUAUAAAGUUAGUCUUGACUUCGCUUUAUUAAUAGAAAUUUUAGGUCUUCAUUUUUUGUUUUAUUCAUGGGCAUAAUAUUUUUUUAUUUUUAUUUUAUGGUCUAUGAUCGAGGUUUAUGACUAUCCCCUUUCAACAACGUCGUCUCAACUGUUCAAACAUACCCUUGCAGGUAAAAUAAUACUUUUUAAAAUCACAAAUAUUUAAGAUAAUACAUUGCAGCUAUAUAAAUGCUUUCUUGUUUAAGAUACUAAUAAAGUAAUUAACAAAGUAAUUAUUAUACCUAUAAUAAUUCAAAAUGCCACUUGUUAUCUAAUGAAGUAUAGGGGUGCAAAUGAGACAUCCGUACUCGCAAGCUAUUCGAAUUUGGCUCAAAAACUUUUGAAAUUGAUUUGGUAAUUAUUGAGCCGAGCUAUAGGUCGAUCCAGAUUCGAGCUUAGUAAUACUUAACUCGAGUAUUUUGAGAGCCUUAUUGAACUUUUUAUAUUUUUAUAUUAUUAGAUUACAUUAUUGCUAUUAAUAUAUAUUAUUAACUCUAAGUUUAAUUAUAGAGGCGAGCUCAAACUCGAGUACAAAAAUUGAUAAACAUAUUUAAUUUCGAGCUUAAAAAUAUAUGUUCGAUCGAGCAUCAAGCUUUGAAUUUCAAAUUAAACUUGAGUUUAACAGUAUUGAGUUCAAAUAGAUUCAAUUACACCCUACAAUAAAAUAUACCAACAAAACCUACAUUCCAUCUUUGCUAUAAAUUUUAUGUAUGUGUGUGUUUAACGUGAGUUCCAUCUAUGUCCAACUUGAUGACGAUGAAAGUUCCUAUGGUGUAAAAAGUUUUAAUUAUGUGGAAAAAUAAGGUCUUCUCUUCACACGUUUAAUAUGCUUACUUGUGUCGGUCAUUUCGAGCUUCACAUCAAUUUUCAAAAAGUUGGAAAACUUAUGUCUGCUUUUAUGAUUCUUUUAUGUGUGUGUUUAACGUGACUUCCUUGUGAGUUCCAUCUAGGUCCAACUUGAUGACAAUGAAAGUUCCUAUGGUGUAAAAAGUUUUAGUUAUGUGGAAAAUUGGUGGAAAACUUACGUCUUUUCACUUGCUUUUAUGAUUCUUUUUACAUGAUAUUACUAUAUAAUUAAAUUGAAAUACUGAUAAAUUUGAACCCAUAUGAUGUAAGUCUAGGCAUCAUCUAAUUUAUUGAUAUUUAAUUAAUUAAUAUAUAUACUUUCAAUUAUAAGAAUUGAAACAUAACUUUCAAGCCAAUUGGAGUAUGCCCCUGUUACACGUCAAAAGAAGUAGAUUUUGAACUCAACAUGAACCUGUGAGAUUUGAUGCCUAAAAUAUAGGUAUAAGGUUUCAAUUCAUGGAAAUGUUGGAAAUCUUGGAAAUUUCUUAGUCUCCUCUCUUUGGAUGUUUUUGAACAAAAAUGUUUUAAGUCUCUUCCGAUGCUAAACUUCUGAUUGGUCGUCGGUUCACUGACCCUUUGGUACACAGCAAUAUGAAGCAUUGGCCAUUCAAGGCCAUUGCUGGUCCUGGUGAUAAGCCAAUGAUUGUACUACUAUAGAUUUGAAUAUUUGUACACAUUUGAUCGGCUCUUCGUAAAUUUAAAUCUUACAAAUUCGGAUAAUAUUUGAACUUUGAAUGUAUGUUUUGUUGGUGAGAAUAUAAAGUUGAUAAAGAUUUGGUAAAUAGAGUAAAUUACUAUUUUUAUUAGAAAAAUUAUUUGGUACACUGCCAAUCGAGGUAAUUAAAACAUGUCAUAUUAUAAAUAAUAAAAUUAUGAUGACUCAAAUAUACGAACAUGUCAAAAUUUAUGUACAACAAAUUAUUAACAUGUAAAUGUAUAAUACGGUACGCAAAAAUAAGAUAAUUUCUUGUUUUUUUAAUUGAAUUGUUAUAACAUAUUAUACAAAAUACAUCGUGAAUUAAAGCAUAAUAUGAACAUGAUAUCAAAAUAUUAAUUUUUUUUAAAAUUCAAUGAUACGAAUAAUUAUGUAAAAUAUAACAUGAUACAAAAUAUCUUGAGAGGAAAAGAGGAAUAAAGAAUUGCAUUAUUUGUGAGGUUUUAAAAUAUUCCAGUUUUAGAUUCAAUUUUCUAGUAUGUUUGGUUUAAUUUUACAUUAGAUUUCCUUUUCAGUAUGCACUAGUGAACGCUUAGCAGUCAGUUUAAUUUAAUUGAAAGAGAUAUUGCAUAUACAUAAUAAUGGAUUAUGAUCUUACAUUAAAUUUCAUAGAAGAAAAAGAAAUAGAUGGUUGAAAAUGAUAAAACCAUAAGAUAAAAGAGCUUUUAUUCAAAAUGCAAAAAUCAACAAAAUAUUCAUUAUCACUCAACUUAGCAUAAUUAAACAUUUAGGUGAGGAAACAAAUCACAAUUUGAGUAGCUAAACACAUUGCUUGAAAAUGUGAUAAGUAAGAAAAUUGCCCACAUUUGAGUAGCGACAUGUGGUGAUGCAUUUCCCAACGAGAGAAAACUAAGCUCUUCACCAGUAUGGAUUUAUGUAGAGGACAACAAAAAUUGUCAACAACACAACUACAUAAGAAACCAAAAAGCUCACAAAAAAAUCAUAAGUACCUAUCAAACCAUCUUCUCCUUUAUCUUCUGAUACAGUUGAUAUCGUUGAUGGUGAAUCAGUUUUGGAACAACUUUUAUGCAAUAUAUCUCCACAAAGAAAAGGAUUUCCCUCAUAACUGUUUUCAAUAAAGGUCCCAAAUUGAGCUUUUGGUUUGGGAAUACUACCUGACAAGUUGUUGUAUGCCACGCUGAAAACCUCCAAAGAGUUCAACUCUACCAAUUGAUAGGGGAUUUCACCACUCAAGUUGUUGUAAGAAAGGUCCAAACUCUCAAUGUGCUGAAGUUUUGAGAAUGAUGAGGGUAUAACUCCGGUCAACUUAUUGUGUGACAAGUUUAAAGAAUGGAUUUCACUCAAGUUCCCUAAUUCUGGUGGGAUAUGACUAGUUAAGUUGUUGCAAGAUAAAUCAAUCCCAGUCAUAUAUGAAAGGAUGUCGCCAUUGUACGAAUAGAACCCACUCUUUGUUGUGAACUCUAUUACUUCUUCUAAGUAGCUUAGAGGAUAGUAAGAAUCCAUUUCCAGGUUUCCUAUCAUAAUGCGUGUUGAUUCAUCCUCUUCUAUAGAUGGCCCAUAGAACCCAGUUUCUAGAAUCCUCUUCAUUUGUAUUGGAAGAGAUAAAUUUCCCAAACAAGAAGGUAUAGGACCAGAAAACAUAUUUUGAGAAAGAUCUAUGAUGCUUAAAGAAUGCAACUUGCAUAACUCAAUAGGAACUUUACCAUGAAAAUGAUUAUCUUUCAGGAGAAGAACACUCAAAGAAGAAAGCGUGUAAAUCCAUUUUGGAAUACUACCUGUCAAAUUGUUUCCUCUAAGAUCUAAAGUCACUAUUGAAGAGUUAUUAUAAAAAGCAAGUGAUAGUGUGCCUCUCAGUCUAUUCCCGUGGAGGUGGACAUGCUCUAUGUUGGUGGAUUAAAACAUGACGGUAUAGAGCCAGAUAAAUUAUUUUGAGAAAGAUCCAAAAAUUCCAACCUAUUCAACUUUCAAAAUUCCAUUGGAAUAGAACCUUCAAAACCAUUGUUGGACAAAUUUAAUCUCCACAAAAAUGAUGCAUUCCCUAUCCAUCUUGGGAGCUUUCCAUGCAACUUGU
rnacentral:lncRNA from 1 species